rnacentral:lncRNA from 1 species
UUUAUGAUAUGAAUUUUUGAAAACCAUCUAAUAAUUACUAGAUUAGAAAAACGAUUAAUUUUGAGUUCUCUAACGCCUUGAUCUCAACCUCCAAAAAACAUGAUAGUUUCUAUUCUAUUUUGAGGCAUUUCAGUUUUCAAGGCCAUCGAAAUUGUGAUUUGGAAAUUUUUUGACGUUAGUCUAUGAGAUUUAUUUCCCCAAAUUUGGUCUAAAAGUACUUCUUUAAUUGAGUUUAACCCGAGGGAGUAAAUAAACAAUAUGCUCCAACAGGAGCAUGAAAUCUCUUGGCAAUAACAUAUUUGCUAAGAGAGAGAUACAGAGAGAUGUCAAGUUAAAGCUAAGAUAGAGAGAGAGAUGGAAAACAAGAAGAUAGGGUCUAUAGAGGAGAUGAAGUUUGCUGAUUUUUUUCCUUUACAUCUCUUUCUGGAAGUGAUAGUGUUUUAUGACCUUCACAGGUAUGGAGCAAUGACAUUUAUGAUAGCUUAGUCCACAGAGUGGUCGUGAACUCUCAACUCGAGAGGUUCUCAAGCAUCCUUGCGGUUGUACCUUCUUACCAUACCAUUGUGAAGCCAUUAGAGGAGCUGGUUGAUGAAAACAACCCUGCAAAUUAUAAUGAAUACAAAUGGGGUGAAUACUUUAUGACAAGGAGGAUCAGCAAUUUCAUGAAGUUGGACAAGCCUGUGAUUCAGGUUGCAGACUUUAGAAAGUCCAAAUAAGCCACUCUCAUUGUGAGAUGUUUGCAAUGCUUUGUGCCCUUGCUUGCUCGCUCUUGCUUUCCUUUCAGCGUUUCUACUACUAAGGUCUUCCGUAUUUCUACUAAUAAGGCCUAUCUCUAGUGUUUGUUAGAAUAAGUGGCUUUGUUCCACAAAAUAUGUACCUGAUAAAUUAAAUAAAUUUGCAAUGAAAUAUGGUUUGUAUCAUCCUAUUGUAUUAAGAUUGACAAAUUUUGAUCACCCUCUCUCUCUCACACACAUACAGAACAUGCAUACCUCUCUAUAAACGUGCCUCUCUCAUCUCUCUCAUACGCAACAUAAAUCUAUUUUGAGAUUGGGCUAGGUUGGCUGUAGUACCAACGAGCUUUGCAAUAAAGUCUAUUACUCUAAGGGUAGGGCCCAAAUCCCCAUUGGCCUUUCAAAAAAAAAUAGCAAAUAACUUCUUUAAAAAGGGUUUUUAAGUGGAUUUUUUUUUUAAAUUUAUGUUUUUUUUAAGUGGAUUUAUUUUUCAAAAAAAUAUAAGGAAAGAACUUGUUCAAAAAGAAAAACCAGCAACUUAAUCUAAUACUUACUAAAAAAGAAAGGAAAGGAAAGGACGUGCUUCAUCAUCCUAAAAAACUGAACAAAAAUGGACUCUUAAUAUUUAUUCUAAUUUAAACUUACUAAAAAAAGGAAAAGUCAACCUCACAAAAGAGAAAGAAACAAAGUUUCCUAAAAAACAACUCAUGUAAAAGAAAGAAAAAAAAGACCUAAAAAAAACAUAAGUACCCGGUUUCUAUGCGGCCAGCCUUCAUAUAUAGAAAUGCGGGCCUUUUAAUAAAUCUAUUUUUUAAAUUGAUUUUAAGACUUAAUUUUUUAAGACAUGUAAUCUCUAACAUGGAGAUCAUGAAUAUAAAAAACCAAAUAAAUUUUAAAACUAAAAAUAAUAACUCUUGUAAGAAUACAUUUGGACCGUAAAUUUCCAUUGUUUUUAGAUGAAACACGUACUUGCAUCCAUCUUUAAGAUGGAUGCUUUACACUUUCUGGAUUGCAUAUAUAGAUAUGCGGUCCAGCUCGCAUGAACAAUUUUUUAAAAAUAAAGGACUUAUACUUUUGAAAAAAAUGCAUUUUCUUAAAAAAAUAGGUUUUUAUUAAACUAACCUAAAAAUCAUAUUUUUACCAAUUAACCCUAAUAAAAAAAAAAGAGUCAACCAACAUCUUUAAAAAUAAAAUUAAUAAAUUAAAAUUAAAUUAAAUUUAAAUUUAAAUUAAAUUAAAAUUAAAAUUAAAAUUAAAANNNNNNNNNNNNNNNNNNNNNNNNNNNNNNNNNNNNNNNNNNNNNNNNNNNNNNNNNNNNNNNNNNNNNNNNNNNNNNNNNNNNNNNNNNNNNNNNNNNNNNNNNNNNNNNNNNNNNNNNNNNNNNNNNNNNNNNNNNNNNNNNNNNNNNNNNNNNNNNNNNNNNNNNNNNNNNNNNNNNNNNNNNNNNNNNNNNNNNNNNNNNNNNNNNNNNNNNNNNNNNNNNNNNNNNNNNNNNNNNNNNNNNNNNNNNNNNNNNNNNNNNNNNNNNNNNNNNNNNNNNNNNNNNNNNNNNNNNNNNNNNNNNNNNNNNNNNNNNNNNNNNNNNNNNNNNNNNNNNNNNNNNNNNNNNNNNNNNNNNNNNNNNNNNNNNNNNNNNNNNNNNNNNNNNNNNNNNNNNNNNNNNNNNNNNNNNNNNNNNNNNNNNNNNNNNNNNNNNNNNNNNNNNNNNNNNNNNNNNNNNNNNNNNNNNNNNNNNNNNNNNNNNNNNNNNNNNNNNNNNNNNNNNNNNNNNNNNNNNNNNNNNNNNNNNNNNNNNNNNNNNNNNNNNNNNNNNNNNNNNNNNNNNNNNNNNNNNNNNNNNNNNNNNNNNNNNNNNNNNNNNNNNNNNNNNNNNNNNNNNNNNNNNNNNNNNNNNNNNNNNNNNNNNNNNNNNNNNNNNNNNNNNNNNNNNNNNNNNNNNNNNNNNNNNNNNNNNNNNNNNNNNNNNNNNNNNNNNNNNAGAUUCACCUAUUGCUUCUCCUUUGAGGCAUUUCUUUUUUUUCUUUGUCAAAUAUUGGUUUAAUCACACAAUAUUGAUCAUCAUUACAGAUUAAUCUCAUACAAAACCUUGAUCUUCAUCUAAGUAUGUAUCGAAAAUUGGUGGAAGAUCCCAAUUUAUAACUUGCAAAAUUUUGAUACAAUCGACGUCAAAAUCAGCCUCGUUCCAUUCAAAUCACGCAGAUCAAUUAAAUCUCAUAAUUUAUUCUCUUCAACAUGGGGCUCCCGACACGGAGCAUGCGCAUAGAACAUAUACUCGAAAAUAACUUCCGACUCACUACUAUCGUCAUAGUGUGUUACUACUUGGUUUUGUGCCAAGCGCUAGGUCAAUUCCUCAACUUGCCUUUUCAAGUCUUUUAUCUCAGUAUCUCGGAGGUUUGCUCUCGCUGGAUAGGCUUAUUCUCGAUAUCUGGUCGUAGACCAUGUUACAAGCGAUGAUGCCUUAUUGAUGAAGGCCACAAUCCACAAGAAUUGACUGAAGGCCACAAUCCACAAAAAUUAACAGGCGCUAAUAACCGGCAAAAGAAUCAUAGUUUUAGAAAGAAAUUAAGAAACUGACAAAAAAUUUGUAAGUAGAAAACACUGAUGUGGGGAUCCGAGAUCUACACCACAUACCAUCAACAAGAGUAGAAGCAAAGAAAAACAAGAGUCAUGCUCCCUCUUUCGCUCUACAAAAUAAUCGUUUUUUUUAUUCAACCAAAAUUCAUCAUCCAAUACAUUGUAUGUGUUCCUUUUUUAUACACUAAGAAACUUGCUUUCUAAAACUCCCUACAAAAAAGGAAGUCCACUACUUCAAUGUUAAUCCUAAUAGGGAUCUUUGUUAACCAAAAGAUAAGGAAAAAAACUUAUUCAAAAUAAGAAACUAUCAACUCAAUCUAAUAUUUACUUAAAAAAUAAAGGAAAGGAUGUGCUUCAUCAUCCUAAAAUAACUCAACAAAAACGGACUCCUUCAAAAGACAACUCCAAAUAUUUAUUACAAUUUAAACAUACUAAAGAAAAUGAUAAGUCAACCUCACAAAAGAAAAAAUAUCCUACGAAACAAAAGUACUCUAAAAUAAGAAACUUGUGCAUAAGAAAGAAGGAAACAGACUAAACUAGGCCUUAUUUGUAAGCUAGGCUUUGCGAAGGCACAUGAUAAGGUUGAUUGCGGGGUCCUGCACAGUAUCAUGGAUAAAAUGGGUUUUCGUUCAAGAUGGAGAUUGUGGAUUGAUGGUUGCAUAUCUUCUACCCAUUUUUUAGUUCUUGUUAAUGGCAAAUAAACAUGUUUUUUCAAAGCAUCAAGAGGAUUGAGACAAUGAGACCCUCUUUCACCUUUUUCAUAUACUUUGGUAGCUGAGAGCUUUAGUGUUACACUUAAUGGAUUGAUAGGGCAAAGGAUCAUAUCAGGUGUUAAUAUUAAUAAUAACGGUCUUGUAGUAUCACAUUUACAGUAUGCUGAUGAUAUCAUUAUAUUCUAUGAUCCCACGAUUACUGAAAUCACUUGCCUAUGGAUUUUCUUGAAAAGCGUGGAACUCUCAAUUGCACUUAAAGUUAAUUUAAGUAAAACCAAGCUUAUUGGUAUUGGCUGUCCACAAAUGGUAGUAUCAGGAAUGACACAUUUAUUAGGUUGUGGUGUUGAGUCAUUACCUUGUACUUAUUUGGGAAUUCCCUUAGUGGAUUCAAGGCCUUCAAGAUCAAUUUGGGAUUUGGUGGUGGAGAGAUUUGAGACGAAACUGGAUACUUGGAAAACUAAAACUCUUUCCAUGGGGGGAAGAUUUACGUUGAUUAAAUCCACUUUGUUUAACCUCCCAAUAUAUUUUGUCUUUAUUUAAAUGCCAAAAGAAGUUGAAAAAUAACUGGAGAGAGUUAUGAGAAAUUUCUUGUGGGGAGAUGACAUAAGAAGGAAGAGAUUUCAACUGUUGAGUUGGGAAAAAGUUUGUAGACCAAUGAAGGAGGGGGGAUUGGGUGUUAGGAGACUGAAACAUAUGAACUCGCCGAUUUUAGUAAAAUGGUGGUAGAGGAUCCAUACACAACCUAAGUCUUUCUGGGUUUUCUUAGAGAAAAAUAUGGAAUGGAUUUGAACUUUGGCCUUAUUAAAAGUCCAAGAAACAAGACAAGUUGGUCUCAUGUUUGGAGAGGUAUUGACUAUGAGAGAUCUGUGUAUCUAUGGCAAUUCUGAAAAAUAGUGGGGAAUAAAGAGUCCACUCUCUUUUGGUUCGACAAAUGGAUUGAAAAUGAACCGUUGAGAUACCUUUUCCUCGAGGUUUUCACAAAAGCUUUAAACUCGCUAGCAUCUAUCAAGGAGGCUAGUGGGGGUGCUUAUACUAAUAUUAUUUGGUCCAUUCCUUGUAAGUAUAGAAGAGGUACAGACAGAUUCAUUGAGGAGUAUCAAACAUUGUUGAAAUUAUUGAAUGACACAUAUUUGAUUCCAAAUAUGGAUGAUAACUUUAUUUGGGAUCUUAACCCUUCGAGAGACUUUUUGGUUAAGUCAACCUACAACCUAUUAUUUUCUGAUCGUUGGAGAGAAUUAGAUGCUGGUUUAUUUAAGAUUAAGAAAUUGUAUGUGCCUCUUAAACUGCAGUUAUUCUUAUAGAUCUUGUGUUAAGAUAAAUUAGCAACUGUUGACAACUUGAGAAAGAGGGGGUUUAUUAUCACCAAUGUAUGUAUCAUGUGCACAGCCAGUGAUGAAACUUUGUAACAUCUUUUCCUAUCAUGCCCUUUUGUUACUUAUCUUUGGGAUUGGGUUCACCAGUGCCUCAAUCUGUCAUUACCUUUGCACCAAAAUGUCAGUGCGCUUCUUGACCAAUGGAUCACACUCGAUAUUUUAGAGAUGGGAACUAUCCUCUAGAGAUCUAUUUGGGUUCGCCUUUUUUAGAAUGUGUAGAAGGAAAGAAAUAGAAGAGUAUUUGAUAGUAUAAGUGCAGAUAUGUCUAUAUUAAUAUCAAAUAUUUUGGCAGUUGCAGCUGAUUGGUUCCAUGCACAUAAGGAUAGUGGCUUCAUUCCUAAAAGUCUUAUCAUUAGCACUUCUUCGGUAGUGGUGAUUAUGGGUGUUUUCAUCAACACUCGUAGUGAAGUUGUUUGGAUACAACCACCAGUCAAUUCCUUCAAACUUAAUUUUUAUUAGAAUAUUUGAAAUUGCUAUGCACUUUGGAAGGGGACAGGAUUAUCGAAGGAGACUUGACAAAUGUCAUUGCGUAGAGUAAGAGAAAGGCCAAAAUACCUUGGAGAUUAAAGACUAUUUUUCAUCAAAUUUGAGAUAUUUUGUUAACCUCUAUGGCAACGAUCCAACAUUGUUAUAGAGAGGCGAAUGAAGAUGCCGAUGUUCUUGUUAAAGGAGGUGUCCAUUCUCCCUCUCUGUUGGUUAGUUCUUUUAUGUAAUAUUGUGACAUUGCUUGAACAUCUUGUAUUUUACAUAUGAAUUAAUAGUAAGUCGUACGUUGCCCUUCAAAAAAAAAGAAAGAAGGAAAUGGACCUAUUGUUUUACCUUUUAUCAACCUUAUUUCCUCUCAUGUUCUCAUUUUCUCUCUUUGUGCCCUCCAGCACCUUUUUCUCUCUCUGUGAUAUCGGAGCCUAUAGCUUCAACCUUUUAGUUUUUCCAUCCUUUGGCUUUACUGUUUCCCUUGUUUCUUUCCUCACUAUUCAUUCACAAAUUUCAUUGUUGAGUUUCCCUUUUCUCUCUUAACCCACUGUCAAGUCAAUAGUUUUUCCUUGAAAAUACAUACAUUUUGAGCCCAUAACAUAUAGGGAGUUAGUUCACAACUAAGCAUGGUGGGAUUCAGGUUUGAUUAAUUUCGAACAAAUUUGCACAAAUGGCUUGUGAGUGCAUCUAUGAUAACGUUUUUCAUAAAAAAGAGCGUAACACAAUGGGUUUUGGCGAGCCUUUACUAGAAUUUAAAAUUUUACAUUAUGAAAAUAAAGUAUCAUAUGUGAAAGAGAGAUCUGAUCAUACUUUGGGAUGUUCAUGAUCUUCAAAUUUUUCAUCCAGAGAAAAGGCAGAAAGAAAGGAAUGGGUUUCCACAUAUACUUAUCCAAUUUCAGUGACAGAAUCAUGGGAAUAUGUAUUUUACAGUAACCUCUGCCAAAAACUUUAUACCUUUUUUGAACGAUAUCUUCCCCUAAAAUACAAUUAUGCUUGUCUAGUUUUCAUAACAAUAUCAAAAAGGAAACUUUUGAAUUGGAUUUUAGAGUGACAAAGAACAAGUACGCUAUAAAAUGGAAGCUUAGAAUCGAAGAAGAAUCCAUUACACUUCUCUUUCUAAGUUUGAUGUAGAUGCAAGAAUUUUUGAAGAAGAAGAAAUCAUUUGGCAGAUAAAGAUGGCUUCUUGAGGAGACUUGGUUUCAGACGAAUAAAAAGAAGAAAGGAAAAAGAAUACGUACAACAGGAUUCGAGACUAAUCUCGCACGAGAUUAGUGGAAAAAUUCUCUCUUCACAAGUUAUUUAAGAUUAGGUAGAUUGGGGUCUGGUCGAGUUUCGAUCCAAAUGUGAUUUGGUCUUGUACCAGAGCUCCAACCUUCUUUGGAUCUUUUGUGCAAGAAAUAUUGGCACGAAAAUUGGGGAAUGCCUUCGGGGUAUCAAAGGCCACUCUUGUCCACCAUGUGGGGCCAAGAUGAUGUCCUUGUAGUGUCUCUUCAAAAUCUGGCUUUAUUCCACGCAGGCUUCCGUAGUCCUUAGGUUAUAAAGAGUGUGAUUGUAACCGCCUCCUCUCUUAUUGGCAUAGGGGGAGAGUGCAUAAAAAAUAUGGCCGAACACACUUCCCAUCCUUUCUUCGAGGAUCUCAUCCAUCAAGUGGAUAGGUUUGGAAACUUGCCCUCCUCUAAUCAGGGAAUCUAUUUCAUCUUUUUGUAGCUCAAUGGGGGCUGCCCUAGCGAGAGUGAUAUGGUGUUUUGGGGUGUUAUCCCCUUGUGUAUCUUGAUUGGAGGAAGAACCCCUCUCAUUGACCUGGAUCAUGUCAACUUCCAUGGUCUCGUUUUCAUAGUGAUCCCACUUAGGUGGGUUGUCAAAGUUGUCUUGCGAGGGAGGUUCCUUAGAAGAUCCAGUAAGUCUUCUUGGGUUCUUGAGCAUGAAGGUGACCAUCUUGAGGGAAUAUGAAUGGGGUCGGAUCUUUGCCUUCAACACCACUUCUGAUCUUAUGAAUAACAACAUUUCCCUUGGUGUUGUAGUGGAUCUCGGGAUUUUCAUUCAUUGUCGACGUGUUUUCGGGAAAGGGGUUCUCAAAUAUACCCAUAUUUUAAUUGGGUGCUUCGACAGGUUGGUUCUUCGGUGUAACAGUGAUGUCCCCCUUAUUGAUUAAUCUACGAAUGACACACUUCGAGUGGUAACAAGUAUGGGUGUUAUGUGCAUAGUUUCGAUGCCAUUUGCACCAUUUCAUCUUGUCCUUGACUGAGAAGGGUGGCUUGGAUGGUGCUAAGAGAUAAACGAAAUCUUUAGACCAGAGUAGUUCGAGCACCUUUUCCAAUAGGUCUUUGAGAGGAGUAAAAUUAUCCUCUCGUCUCCUAUUGUCAUUUUGAGAAUGACCAAUGGGUCACCUCCUCUGAUUUUGGUUUUGAAAGUUUUGCCAAGUGGCGGAGCCUUGAGCCUGCCGUUAAUAACAAUCUCAUUAACUUGGUCGGAAGUACUCCCUCUCUUGUUAUUAUUGUUGUUUCUGAGUGACUUAUUUUGGGGAGUGGUUAUAGGCUUGUUCUCGGGCUUUGUGCUAAUGGAAAUCCCCUGUGCCCUUUCAUGAAGUGCUACUCUUUUGAUCAUGGAGAUAAAAGAGUAAGGGAAAAGACCAUGAUUGAAUAACAUUCUAUAUUCGAAAGCAACAUUCUCCAAAGCUCUGGAGAUCUUUGCGGGGUCUGUGAGUGGCAUUCGAUAACCUGCAUCGCAGCCUCCCGAAAUCUGUUACUGAAAUCUUUGAAGGACUCUCCUAGAUUUUUCUUUGUUGUGCUUAUUCACCGAGGAAGAGAGCCCUUGGUGCUACCUCCCAGUAGUGGGAGGCAAAUUCUAAAAAUCUGAUCUACGUGACAUGCGGCUAUGUAUUCAUUAUUCUUCGAUGCCAGUUUAGAGUUUUACUGGACAACAUUUGUGAGAAUAUGGCUUUUAAUUGAUUAGGCCUAUCUUGCCAAUUUGGGAUAGAGAGAAGAUAUGUGUGGACAUGGGUGUCUGGAUCACAUUUUCCAUUGAAUUUGUUUCAAAAUUAUGACAUUAUGAAUGCAAGCAGACCUUCGUGUAUGCCCAUGAUAUAUACAAUGAAAGAACCACCACAAGAAUUGUGUGGGGCACAAUUAUUUUUCUCAAAAAGUUCCUCUCUCUCUCUCUCAAAUUUUUAAUGGUUUCUGAGCAAACAUUGAUCCAAUCUCUAUUUUUCAUGUUGUUCCUCAAUCCAAAGUAAGUCUCUCCCUCUCCAUUUCAUUUCAUGUUUCAUCUUGGAAAUUUUGUUAAAAAAAAAAAAUCCCUUUGGCUCGAUUUCAUAUUUCAUCUUUCAGUCAACUAACCCAUCGCUUUGCAUCUUUGCAUCCAUCAAUUUUUUUUUUUUUGCAUCAUAUUUCUUUGCCUCCAUUGUUUUGCACUCUUUGCCGCCAUUGUUUUGCAUUUUUUAAAAAAAAAAAAAAAUUGCAUCGUUUUGCACUCUUUGCCUCAUCGUUUUUCUUUGCCUCCAUAUCACCCAAGCAAGCCUCUCACGUCUAACCCAUAGUUCUAAUUUAAUCUUCGGCUUACACUCUAUUUUACACAUUGAAAAGCUCUAAAACUUAUUUGUCAAAAAAAAGAAAAGCUCUAAAACUUGCGCCCACCUUUUUUAGUCGAUCCAUCUAUCUUAAAAAGAUACCUCUUUAUUCUUAUGGACACUUCAUCCUCACCAAACAAAUAUCCCUAUCCCUCAACCUUGAAUAUAGAAAAUUUUGUGUCUCUUAAAUUGACACAGAAUAACUAUUUAUUAUGGGAAACUAAAAUUCUCUCUCAUUGAGAGUCAUAAAAUUUUUGAAUUCAUUAAUAGUGAUUGCUCUACACCAAGUCAAAAUAUUUCUUCUCUUGAUGGUAAGAGUGAAAUAAAAAAUCCAGACUACAAAUUAUGGCUAAAGUCGGACCAGCUUCUUAAAGCUUGGAUCACAUAGACAUUAUUACAAGAAUGUCUUAGCCUUGUUGUUGGCUUCAAGACCUCUAUAGAAGUUUGGAAACAUCUGGAGAAUGCUUAUGCAGGGAAUUCUCAAGCUAGGGAGUUCCAACUUACCCAACAACUUCGACUCUGCAAGAAAGGGAAUUCAACCCUCUCAGAAUACAUAUGCAAAUUCUAGAGUAUUUGUAAUGAUUUGGCGGCUAUUAGAAAAGAUGUACCAUAAGAAAAUAAGGUUAUUUAGCUUCUAAAUUGACUUAGUCCAAAAUAUGAGAGUUUUGUUGUCUAAUGCUUAAGCCUAUGAUUACUUCAUAUUCUAAAAUUAUACCACUUCUUCAAAGCCAUGAGAUUAAAAAUCAGCCCCAUAUCUUUGAAGAACACUCAUAUCCAAAUCAAAAUAUGGCCUUUGCUAGACAAUAGAGAAAUUUGGACCUAACAUAUGUACCAGAAAUUACAGAGGUAGAGGCAUACACAACUUUGGUGGUCAACAGGUUUCUAAUUCUCGAGGGUAUGGAUUUGCUCAAACAUGUUGGAACAAUAACGGGGGACGUGGUUUGCCUCAGAGAAACCAAGAAAGUGGUGGUACAUCUAUUCAACAUAUGAAUCAAAGUUUCAACAAGAUUCACAGAUACAACGAUUAGCUCAAACACCCCAUGAAAAGUGUAAAAUUUGUGGAAAAUUUUGACAUACUGCAUUGAAGUGUUGGCGCCGAUUCAAUCAUAUGUGCUAAGAAAAAGAUAUUCCUCCAGCUCUUGCUACAGUGACAAUAGUAAAUUCCCAAGACUCGGAAUGGUUCCCAGACCCGGUUGGCUCAACUCAUAUGAUAGAAGACCCAGUCAAACUGUAAAACCUUCGCCCUUAUAGUGGUAGAGAUAUAAUCAUGAUUGGCAAUGGUGAGCAAUUAACUAUUUCAUAUGUUGGUGACGCAAAUAUUGAUGUUGGAUCUGAAAAUUUUAAUAUUUUUAAUGCACUUUUGGUGCUAGAGAUAAAAAAGAAUUUACUAUUUGUUAGCCAGUUUAUAAAUUAUUUUUCUUGUAUUUUUUAUUUCUCAUCAAAUGGUUUUCAAAUUAAAGAAAGGAGCACAGGGAGAACUCUAGCCAGCAGGAGUAGAAAUGGUGGACUUUAUGCACUUGAGGAUGUGAAUGAAGCUUUAUUUUCUAAUCAAAAUAAGAAAACAAAGAUGUGCGGCAUCAAUGACUUGGACAUCCUCAAAAUAAAGUAAUACGUUACUUAGAAUCUAAACAGUUGAUUAUUGUUGAUGCAUGUAAUAAAUCUCAUUCUGUUUGUGCUAGCUGUCAGACGGGAAAAUGUUGUAACUCCGAUUUAGUAGUACUGACAAAACCUCUACAAAACCUCUUUUCAAGAUUCAUUCAGAUUUAGGGAUCCUUCAUCAGUUUUAUCUAAUCAGAAUUAUCGCUUUUAUGUGGUAUUUGUAGGUGAUUACACUCGUACUUGGAUUUAUCCUUUGAAAAUAAAAUCUGAAUUUUUCUCUGCAUUUGUGAAAUUUCAUCUAAUGGUUGAAAGGAGAUUUGAUAAACGAAUUCGAAUUUUCAAUGUGAUAGAGGUGGUGAGUUUGCUAAGAAAGAAUUCAUUGCUCAUCUUACUGAGAAUGGAAUUGUGCAACAUAUAUCAUGUCCAGGAACCCCUGAACAAAAUGGAAUAGUUGAAAGGAAAUGUAGAAAUAUUAUAGAAUCGCUUCUUACGAUGAUGUUUUAUACAUGAAUUUCUAAACGAUUUUGGGUUGAAGCUUUCCAUACCGUAGUCUUUGUAAUAAACAAGAUUCUCUCGGCCAAUUUGCAAAUGGAUUCACCGUAUUCUUUGUUGUUUGGUCGUAUACCAGACUAUUCUUCACUCCGAGUUUUUGUUUGUCAGUGUUUUCCGUUCCUUCGAGACUAUGCUGCAAAUAAAUUAUGUAAUCAUUCUCUUACAUGUGUAUUUUUGAGUUACAGUGUUCAGCAUAAGGGUUACAAAUGUCUGCAUCCACCGACAUAGUGAAUUUAUAUCUCUAGACAUGUUGUAUUUGAUGGAAAUAUCUAUCCUUAUGCUAGCCCAAUUCUUUGUUUGAGAGUUCUCAGGUUCAAGGGGAGAUGUCCACCUAUACAUAAUGGUCAGAAUGUUAUGAGCCUGAUAUACAAACUCCUUCCUCUUUUGAUUCAUCACCUCUACAUACACCACCCAUAUGGGAUAAACUUGAUGUAUCUGGUCCCUCAAGUCCCACUUUGCCCACCACCAAUUAUAGUUUUCUAACUUCUCUUAUAGAGGAAGAUGUCACCACUGCAACACCAAUCCAAGAUGUUCAAGAUGAUGUAACACACAAUCAUGAUGAUGAAAAUGUUACUACUCAAGACACCAACCAAUCUAAUUUUUUACAAGCUUCUGAGCAUUUUCAUCAUCACAUGGUCACCAGAUCUAAAGAUGGUACUCAAAUACCUUGAAUUCUCCCAUCUAUGGCAGCAAUCUCAAGUGCUCCUACAUUUGAAGCUAUCCCUCUGAACUUAAAACAUAAAGUCUGCCUUGGUCACUAGGUUAGCAUUCUACGAUGGAAGAGGAAAUUGAAGCCCUACAUGUUAACUCAACUUGGAAGCUAGUUUCAUGUCUUCUAGGUAUGAAUAUUGUUGAUUGUCAUUGGGCCUAUAAGACUAAAUUAAAGUUUGAUGGUAAUCUAGAGAGACUUAAGGCCAAACUAGUUGCUAAAAGAUAUAAUCAGGAUGCUGGAAUUGAUUUCUCUGAAUCAUUCAGUCUGUUAUUAAUCCUGCUAGUAUUCGGAUUGUGCUUCCCAUAACUACUAUGUGCCACUGGCCUAUCAAAUAGCUUGAUAUGAAAAAUGCUUUCCUGCAUAGCUUUCUUAAGGAACUUGUAUUUAUGGAAUAACCUCCUGGAUUUGUGAGCUCAAAAUAUCAAAAUCAUGUCUGCAAAUUACAAAGAGCUUUAUAUGGUCUCAAGCAAGUACCAUGGGCCUGAUUUGAUAGAUUUAGUAUCUAUUUAUUAUCAUUGGUGUUUUAUGGCAGUAUAGUUUAUUCAUCUCUUAUUUCUCGCACUGGCACUAUUAUCCUUCUCAUUUGUGUUAAUGAUAUUAUUGUUAUUGGUGACAAUUUAGAUUUUCUAGAUUGGUUCAUUUCCCAACUUGGGAGUUCACAAUAAAAGAUAUUGGACCUCUUCACUACUUUCUUGUCAUAGAGGUAUCUUAUUUUUCAGGUGGGAUAUUUCUCUCACAAAGAAAAUAUGCUCGAGAUCUUAAUGAUCAUGCUCAGAUGCUCAAUGCAACACCUGUUUCAACACCAAUGGCAAUGAAGAACAAUAUUCAUGGGAAUUCUGAUUUAUUUCAUGAUCCAUCUCUUUAUCGGAGCAUUAUUGGUGCCAUCCAAUACAUUACCAUUACAUGGCCAGACCUUUCUCAUGGUGUUAAUAAAGUUGGUCAAUUUAUGCAUGCCCCUACAAUUGCACAUUUUCAGCUAGUUAUCUCAAUGGUACACAAUCAUGUGGUGUACGACUCUUAUCUGCUAGUUCCCUUGAGUUAUAUGCCUUCUUUGAUACAGUCUGGGUUGGGUUUCCAACCACUCGUCGUUCAACUGCUGGUUUUCUACGCCUAUCUUGGUUCUAACUACAUAUCUUGGAGCACUAAGAAACUGGCAAUUGUAGCUCGUUCUAGUGCUAAAGCGGAAUACCGCUCUAUGGCAUCCAUUGCUGUAGAAUUGACAUGGCUUUCUUUUAUUCUUCGGGAUCUUGGGUUGCAUCUUCUUCAACCAAUAACACUUUUUUGUUACAAUAUUAGUAUUCUCUCUAUAUGACAGUUAAUCAUGUUUUCAAGCCCGGACAAAUCACAUUGAGUUAGACUAUCAUUUGUAUGUGAAAAGCUUGUUCUUGGGUUACUUAUCACUCGUUUUGUUUCCUCUCGUAAUCAAGUAGUUGAUAUCUUUACCAAGCCUUUUAUCACAAGAUGUUUUUCGAGAUUUUUGCUUCAAACUCAGGCUUCAAAUGCCUCCCGAGCCAAGUUUGAGAGGGAGUAAUGGAAACAAAGUCCAAAAUAGCAAAAUACAUAUUACAAGAUAGGAAAAAGAUAUUGCUCUUACCUUUUGAGAGGAGAAUGUAACAAGAUAGGAAAGUAUAUAUUGCAUGUAACAAGAUAGGAAAAUGUAUAUUUGUACUAUUGUAUUACCAUGAUAUAUAUAAUAAAAGAACCGCCACAAGAGUUGUGUGGGGCAUAAUUAUUUUUCUCAAAGUGUUCCUCUCUCUCUCUCAAAUUCUUUAAGUAUCACAUUCCCUUACACUAUUACCAUGAGUAUUACAUUCCCUUAGCUCCAAUGCUCCACCAACCUCCAUGGCCUCCAUCUUUAAGCUUCAAACAAAAAUUAGGAUUUCAAACUCUGAAAAUAGUCUAUAAUAUAAGAAAAUAUCCAGACUGUUCAUUUUUUUUUAAAAAAAAAUAUUCACAUAUCUGCAAGAUUUGUGACCAUGCUCUCACCUAUUCCUCUCUAUCUAUUGCUGCACUAAAUCAGCCUCCUAGUUCAUCCUAAAGUAGCAUUUGAAGUUGCAUUUUAUGCAUCCCAUUUAUUGACUGUGAUAGAGUCCCGAUCACUGUGUUUUCAGUUUGAUAAGUUCUGGAAGGUAAUCGGGGCAAAUUGUGUGAAAUUUUGGCAUCAUGUUCCUUGUAUCUCGUAGACACACAUUUGUAAAGCGUUUAUAGAAAUUGAGAUUGCAAUUAAGUCAUUGUAUAUGUAAAAGCAUUCGAUGUAAAUCUAAAAGAAAUAGAAUAUAACUAAAUUUUAUUUGUAUGAAUGUUAAGUGCAGUCAGAAGUUUGUCCAAAUGAAUAGAAAUGGUUAUGGUGAUGUAAAGAGGUUUUUAUGACCAUCAAAUCUUGCUUAAAUUAUAUUAAAAGAAAGUAGUAUGAGGAAGUGACUGUACUUAUUCAUGUAUGAAAUUGAGGUGUAUAUUUAUCUCUUUUUGGAAAUUUUAAAAGAGUUGUACCUAAGAGACCCGUAUCUACCUAUCACGUAGCAUCAGAGCCGGCCCUCUUAGAUCUCCAUUAUUAUUCAAGUUUUGUGUCCUACAUUGUAUUUUAGUUAUGCUGGAGUCAGAAGCCAUCACCGUGAAUGCAAUUUUGGGCCAAUUACUUAAUGGAAAGAUUUUUAUAUUUCCCCUACGGCAUAGAAGAUCUAUGCUUCCCCCUACCAUCCAGCCGUCCAAUUUUGCAAGAGAGCCACUCGCCUUUUAAUCUUAGAUCCGACAUCUCAAAAUAUUUUAUUUUUAGUUUUUCUUAUACAAAUUGUAUGAAUAUGAAAUUUGGUACAUGUCAUCUUAUCAUUGGGGCGCACCUAUAAAAUAUAUUUAAAAUAAUUUUUUGAUAAAAUACAAUGACCAAAAUACCCCUUAAAACUUUCAGGGUAAUUUUGAUCAUUUUAUUUCUUGGAAAUAUUUUUUUAAUGUUUUUCGCUAGUGCGAGUGUAAUAGAGGAUUGGACGUCCAAAAUUUGGUGUCAAAAUAGUUUAUAGAAAAAAAUUAAAAAUAAAAUAGUGUAAAGACAUGACAUUAUGAUUGGGGCAAACUUAGCCCUCCAUUCAGAAUGGACGGUUGGAUAAGGGGAAAUAUAUAAGUUUUAUGUUGUACGGGAAGCAUAUAAAGCUUGCCCAUUAUUUAAAGGAGACUGUUGUGAUUGUCAAAAAAAAAAAGGCUCUCUAUUUUGUUUGAUUUGAUAGCAACCUUAAACUUUUCUAUCCAUAAAAGAGCUAUAACCAUCAUCAUCAUGAUUGAAGCUUUUUUCCAACUAUUUGGAGUCGGCUACACAAAUCCUGAUCUAUCAUUAUGCUCUAUCCAGUUUUAUAUCCUCAAUAAGGCUAUAAGUCCCCAUAUUUUUCUUCACUACUUCUAAUUAGUGAUUUAAAAAUUGCCUAGUCAGCACUAACUCGGGCAAGUCAACACGGGAAUUGGUCACCCCGUGUCAAUUCCAAUAAAAUUCACAGUAUCGCCAGAUUUUACGAUUCCAAUAAAAUUCGCAAUAUCGCCCUGUUCUAGAGAAGAACCGGCGAGUCUCUACAAUGAACCACCGGAGUCUAUAUAGUGAACUGCCCGAAUGACUCUAAUAAAAAUCACAGUAUCGCCCGAUUUUACGAUUCCAAUAAAAUUUGCAGUAUCGCUCGGUUCUAGAGAAGAACCGGAGAGUCUUAUGACAUCAUAAAUAUACAUUUGUUUUCAAAUUUUUUUAAAAGGGUAAUUGGGAUAUUUUUAAAUCUACCUUUGUUUUCAAUUUUUUUUGCAAGGGUAAUUGGGAUAUUUUUUCAAAAUAGGGGGACUCUAUCGUGGCGAGCUUGAUGUCUCAACACUGGCCAUCACUGGACCCUAUGCCCCAUUCAAUGGAAGGACCCCAUGCUCCAUUCAAUCGUUGUUAAUGUGCUAGUCCUCGAGUCUUUUAUACAUGUUAACUUUUCAUGAAGUUUUCAAUUUGGGACAAUUCCCAAUGUAACAGCUUGAAAAGGUAAUAUAGCAUUUUAUUAUGAAAGUUAAUAAAGAAAGAGAUCUCUAGUUCAAACCUAGGCAGUAUUUAAAAAAAAAAAAAACGUACCAUCUUAUUUUUCUUUUCAAAAAUAAAUAAAUUUUGUCAAAAAAUAAAAUAAAAUAAUACAAAAUAAAACACAUCAUCUUCUUAUUUUUCUUGUCAAAAAAAAAUUCUUUUUGUCAAAAAAUAAAAAAAAAUAAAAGGUACCAUCUUCUUAUUUUUCUUGUCAAAAAAAAAGAAAAGGUAAUAUAACAAGUAUUUCAACAUAACAAGUAUUUCUUGUCAAGAAAUAAAUAAAAUGUAAUAUGACAAGUAUCAUGUUUUUCAAACACGCAUUUGAGCUGCAAUUGUCGUAAGCUUAAAUUAGACAUGUAAAAGUAAUCCAAUAUAGGCUUGAAGCAUGUUAGCUCUUUUUUUCUCUCUCAUAUAUGAAUGCCUAUUGUUAGAUUGUUUAUUUUUUUUUACUUAGGAAUAAAUGAUCUAAUUAUAUUUUUUUAUUUUUAUCACAUGGUGGUCUUUAACAUAAAUUUAGGAAUAUUAAUUUAAGGGAAAGUUUAUAUAGAACCGAGGCUCUAAACAAUCAAAUUAGAGCCUACAUAAAAUAUUUCACUAAAAGAGGUUGUUUUGAUGCCUAAAUAUCCUCAAAUUGAUCAUCUCAACAUUAAGAUGCAUGAUCAUGAGAAAAAAUGGAUUUAAAGUUUUAGGAGUAUUGUAUUUGUAACGUAUUUUGGACCGUCAAUUUUCAAGAUUUUCAAGUUUUCAUAGAUCAAUCGAUCUACACUAUUUUUUAAGCUUUAAACUUUAUAAAUAAAGAUGAAAAUAUAUUUUAAGACUAUCACAAAGAUUUACAGUAUUGAAACCACAUUUCUAAACACUAUUUUAGGGUAGGCUCUAAUUUGAUUGUUUAGAGCUUGGGCUGUAUACAAAUCGCACCCUUAAUUUAAAGAUAGGGUUCAUAUAAUGAAGCUAUUUGAAAUCUCUCUCUCUCUCNNNNNNNNNNNNNNNNNNNNUUAGUUAGGAUCUUCGGGUCGUCGUAAUACAAAGUUACCGCACCGUUUAACUUUAAACGUAAUAGGGUUACGUAUAUAAUAGAGACUACUUAGUAAUACUCUCUCUCUCUCUCUCUCUCUCUCUCUCUCUCUCUCUCUCGCUCUCUCUCUCUAUACUAACAAUCUCUUCCACUAAAUUUAUUCUAGCAACCUAAAAAACUUGAUUUUUGAAAAACAAUUGCGUUAUAAAUUAUGCAAUGUACCGUUUUUCUUACAAUUGUCAAUAAUAUAUUUUAAAUUAGAUGAUAUUAUAAGAUAAUUUAGAUUUGUUAUUAUUUGUAUAGUAAAAUAAUUAUAAAAUAUAAAUCAACAAUUUCAAUUUAAGUAUAUAAUAUUAUAGUUAGUUAGGUUGUAAUAAUUUUGGAUUAUAGUUAGUUAAGUUGUAAUAAUUUGGGUUUUUUCUUAGUGAAUUGGGAUUUCAGCCAAUUCGAGAUUUUUGUAGUCAUUUUUUCAUCGAUUAAAUCCAUUAUUUAUUGUAGUUCAUGUACGAUAUAUACUUCAUCCAUAAUAAUUCUGUGAUUUUUCUUUUGUGCGAUGUAAAUUUAAUGGUUAACAUAAGUUCAUACAGGGAAAGAACAUCUCAAUAUUCGCAUAUUGAUGAAAAAAAAUGAAAGUUAAUAAUGUAGUACCCCAUUUCUUAUUGGAUUCCUAAAAAGAAUAUUUAUAAUGAUUUUUAAUAAUGUUUUUAGAUUUUUUUAUUAUCGAAUCCUAUCGAUUUCUGAUCCGAACUGUUGAUUCACUGAUUCGGAUGGGUUUUGGGGUGCACGAUCAGGGACACCGAUCCGUUUUUUAAACCACUUCUUCUAACCAUGUGUUUUUGGGCUUACCUCUCGCUCUUUUUUAGCCAUCCACUGAAACCAACUUGCACCUCCUAACAAUACUGUAAUGGGUAUGUGAUGCACAUGGUCAGCCCACCUAAUUCUAUGUUUUCUCAUAUUAUCGCCUCUGGAGCCACAUCUAAGUUCUCCUGAAUGUCUUCAUGUCUUUCCACUCAUCCAUCUCAACAUCCUCAUUUCAGCUACACUCAUCCUAUGAGCAUGUCGUUUGUUGACUACCCGGUAGUCUACCUUAUAAAGCAAAGUCGGUCUCACAAUUUUCUCAUAGAACUUCCCCGUCAACUUCAUUGGUGGUGACUACAUAAAACUCUUGUAGUACAACUCCACUUCGUCCCUAGCUCUAAUUACAUAUAUUAUGGACCCAAGAUAUCUAAAGUACGUUUUUUUUAUAUUAUAUAUUUUUUUUUUACCAUCAAUCUUACCUACUUCCUUGUCUCUAUUUAUUGGGAUGCAGUGAUCAUAUAAAAAAGCCCUAACCGGUGUUGAUUCCGAUCCAUAUUGCCUGAUUUGGUGUGCGAAUAACAAAUAAAGUGUUUUAAGAAAAUAGAAAACCAAGAGAACCCGUGCAGUUUUUGGGUUUCUCUUGUCAGAAUUGUUCAUGUCCUAAUCCAAAUUCAAGUUGAAUGACUCCAAAUUAGAUUGGAAAUUUUCCAACACGUUCCCACAAAAUAAAUUUCUCUACCUCAAAAACAGUUGACGAUGUCAAAUACAUUCAUGGCAUGGCCGGCUUACUAGUAAAGGUCCAAAUUGGGAUGCAAAGUAUGUAACUAUUUCUUUUCUGUAUGGAAUAUAAACAUGGUGAGAUGGUUAUAAUGUAUCAGUCACUCUGUAGCAACUAAAUAAAAUAAACUUAAGGAUGAGCUCAAGUCUAGGAAGUCAGAAUGCCGGAAAACGACAAUGCGAUAUCUUGAUUCCAUUUCUAUCACGAACAAGUGAACCCUUCUUUGCAGAAAUGCUCGAAAAGAAGCCAAAUACAAUCACCCUUCUAUCGUUGUAUACCGUGCAGUAAGUUUAAAGGAAAAGUACCCCAUCCACAUUAUGUGGACAAGUGGUAAGGUGCACAAGCACCUUCCAAUGGUUGAGUUGAGUUCUCAUAUGAUCAUAUUCAAUCGCUGAAAGUUAGUUUCGUUUUUUAUUUUUUCUAAUUAGGCGAUUAGCAGUUAAAUUGCUCGAUUUUUCCAACAAUGCUUGUGAUAAUGUGAAAAUUUAUUGCUGCCUUUAAUUAUAAAAUUUAAAGUUCCAUAAAUAGUGACGAUCAAACAAUAUAUGAAUACUUAAAAAUUUUAAAAAUGGACCACUCCAGUUAGAAGAUGACCUGUUUUUAAAACUAAAACAUAAAUCCCCUUUUUUCAUAUCUAUCAGGUUGAAUUGAUCGAUUUGGAAAAUCUUACUCCGAUGGAUGCACCUUUUUAUAACAUAGCUAGUCUAAUUUUUGGAUGCACCUUACCUGUACAGUAUAAAAUGUGUAACUUUUUUUCAAACUUGGUGAGAUUCUCGUUAACCAGUUAAAAAUUUUAAAAAUUAAGGUAAUAAAAAAUUUCAAGCCUCUCUUUGCUGUGCAGCGUCAGUAAAAUAAUAAAAUAAUGAAUAAAUGUCGAAGAAAGAAAGGACCCUGGUAGAUAAUUCUAGAAGCCGCCUUCACCUCGUGAAAUGCAGUAAUAAAGUCUUUGUACAAAUAUGCGACACUACUAGUACAACAAACCAGUUGGUGACGGAACGUUGCCAAGUGCCGGCGACCAGUCCAAAUCAUUAAAGUUAAAAAAAUUAUAAAAAAUAUAUAUAUAUAUAUAUAUAUAUAUAUAUACUAUAACAANNNNNNNNNNNNNNNNNNNNAAUUGAUAUUCCAAAUCAUUGGAUCAGCCUAAAUGCCCUUUUAAAAAAAAAUUUAAAAAAUACUAAAAUUUCUUUCAAAUCUAAAUUUUUAGGUUUCUCAAAAAAUGUGGUUAUUGAAAAUACAUAAAUACUGAAAACAUGUUUCAUGUUUGAGUAUUUUGUUUAUCAUUAUAUUGAUUUUAUAGUCAAAAUUAAGUUUGAAAUGUAAUUUAUUAUAAUAAAAUAAAUCUCUUUAACUAAUUUUUUUAUUUUUUUUCUUCCAUAAUCUCCAAUGUCACUUUCACUUGUAAAAAUAGUGGGCCUAUUUCUUGUUUUUUUCUAUUUUCUGAUAAUUAAUUUAUUAAAUUAUUAAUUUAUUUCUAUGAUAUUUUUCUUCAUAUUUGAGGUCUCAUGCUUGAAAAUGCGCUCCAUUUAUUUAGGUUAUAGAUUUUCUUACGUAGAGUGAGGCCAAGCACAUCUUAAAAAACAAAAAAAAGUUGGGAGGAUAUCUCUCGUAUCCCUCCAUUCUCCAUCUAAUGACCUCUCAUUCUCUCUCUUUUUAUCCCCAUCCCUCAUUCUCCAUCUAAUGACGUCUCAUUCUCUCUCUUUUUAUCCCCAUUGAUGCAUUCUUAUCAAAUACGUCUUAAAAUCUUAUCUUUAUGAGGAUCAAAGGUAAACUACAUAUUAACAACAACUAAAACACAUAAGUUUGGGACAACCCCAUUACAUUGAGGACUCUUUAUAAAAAAAAAUCGCAAACUAUGUAAAAUUUAUAAAAAAAAAAUGAGGUUAUCCAAUAAAAGAAAAUUUUGUAGAAAAUAAAAAAUUAUAUGGAACUAGCUGGUUCCUAAAAGGAACUGGAUUGUUCCAACGAAGAAACGGCCAGCUCACACCUAGAACCAACCGGUUCCCAAUAUUUAUAGGAAACUGAACUAGCUCUUCGGAGAACUGAUUCGGAUCGGAUGACUUCAAUCCGAAUUGACAUUUUUUUAAACACUGAGUUCUAUAUCGCUCUGAUUAGGAUUGAAUGAUUCCAAUCCGAAUUGACAGUGUUUUAAACACUAAGUUCUAUAUCGCUCAGGACAUGUUUCUUAUGUAUCGAUGUUGUCUACGAGUUAUCUCGGCUAUCUACCAAGACCGAGUAACUCGGCCAAAUUCAUCUGAAAAUAUUGUUUUAAUGUUGAAAACUCUCUAAUUGAUCAUCUCGACGUUGAGAUGUAUGAAUAUGGAAAAAAAAAAAAAGAUUUUGAGUACAAGAAAUAGCGUAUCUUGCAACACAAUUUCUAGAUCGUCCAUUUUCAAGAUUUUCGUAUGUUUAUAGAUCUACAUAAUUUCAACUUUUUUUGGAGUUUAAAAUUUUUUUACUAGAUAUAAAAACAAAUUUUUAAUUGAUCCUAAUAUUUUUUUAAACCAAAAUUACAUGUUAUGUUAAAGUUUGGAAGUACGCCUUAAUUGGAUUGUCCAAGAUUGCAAUCUUAUGAAAAUCGCUAAUUAAAAUGGGCUAACUCAACAAAGAAAAUUAAAACCACUAUUUUUAACGUUUAAAAUCAAGUUAUUUCUUCAAAUUCAUUAUUGUAGUAGUUGAGAUUCGCAUCUCUUAAUAUUAAAAUCCAAAAUUCAUCUCUGACAUUAAUUUCCCGCCUCUUCUUUAUUUUUAUUUAUAUUAUUAUUAUUUAUUAUUUUAUGAGAAUAAUUUAUUAUUAUUAUUAUUAUUAUUGAUUUUGAGUGCUGUAACGGAUGACACAUCGUAGCGCGAUCCAAAAACAAUGCAGCCGACGUCCCAUGUGUCUCCUGACGGUAUCUCAAUUAUACUCACAGACAACUGCACAUCAAUCAUGACCAUUAAAAAAAUAAAGAAAACGAAACCCACCCAAAAACAAUGGAGAAAAAUCGAGAAGAUCAAGAUAAUAUGGCCUAAUGUGCUUAUAAAAACAAUGUAGAAAAAUCAAGAAAAUCAUUCAAGAUAUUCUGUAUACCCUCAUGUGGUUAUAAAAGUGGUAUGCCCGUUCUAGGGCUGAGCAUCAGAGUGAACCAUGGCUCCCUCUAUUGAUGAAGCCGCGGUCCAACCUCUUGAGCUCAGGCCUAAGCUUGACUGCAUCAAAUACUUAGAGGAAGUCCCUCUCAUUGAUCUCUCUCCUCUAAGGUCUAAAAACUGUGACCUCUCUGAGGCCAAAGAGAAACUUGCAUCUCAGCUCCAUGAUUGUCUUAAAGAGUGGGGCUUCUUCCUAGUUGUGAACCAUGGCAUGGCAACUGAUGCCUUGGCAAAGGUUAAGAGUACCUUCACUAAGCUUCCUGAGGAGGACAAGAAGAAGGUGGCUAGAAAUGAGAAGAAUCCUUGGGGUUACAGUGAGAAGGAUCUCACUAAGAACACUAAGGACUGGGUCGAGGUGUUCGACUACAUGGUCGCGGAGGAGCUCACCCUGCCUGAGACCUUCGAACCCGAUUGCAAAACUGUAGUGAAGUUCAGGAAUAACUGGCCGGAAAACCAGCCGGAGUUUCAGUAAUGGAUUUGGUUUAGAAUUCCUACUUUAUUCGUUUGUUAAAUUAGGUUUCUUUAAUUUUUAUUUGUUUUUCCCAUUUCUUCUUUUAGUAUAUCAGCAUGGAAAAAAGCCCCAUAGAGAAGAGAGACUAUGCUCUUCUUGUACAGCAGAAUACUGAAAGAACAGAUCUCUCUCUCCCUCUCUCUACGUCAAAAUUCAUUUCAUUCACCAAAAUCAUUCCAUACAAUGCGACCGUUUUUCUUUCUAGCUGUUUGUUGUCUUUUUUCUUCUUUUUUUUGGGUGAUUCAGUGGGAGAAGACCAAGACCCUUACCCGUUUUUUCAAGUAGAUCGAGUUAGCCGUUUGAAAGUACUAGUAUGGUUGGUGAGAAUAGAAACCAAUGCGUAGUGAGUCGAUGUGCUGCCGCGACCACCCAGGACUUUUACUUUUUAUUAAUACCUGCUGGCUUUUUUAAAAGAUUCCUCCUUACUAAAAUGAGCUCAUGCCUUCUAUAAAAUAUAAGCUUUCUAUUAACAAACUUCUUCCUUCAAUAAGAGAUCAAUUAGGUGGUUUUUCACCGUCAAAACAACCUCUUUCUGGGUGACUUUUGAGGGCAUGCUUUUUUCUACAAUUUAAAGUUGUAACUUUAUAUAAACUUUUUCUUCCAAAUUUUACUAAAAUGAACUCAUACCUUCUAUAAAAUAUAAGCUUUAUAUUAACAAACUUCUUCCUUCAAUAAGAGAUCAAUUAGGUGGUUUUUCACCAUCAAAACAAUCUUUUUCUGGGUGACUUUUAAGGGCUUUAUAUAAACUUUUCCUUCCAAAUUUUAUCACUAACAAAACUGAAAUUGCUUUGCAGGAAAGCAUGCGAAGACUUCACGACUGGCACGAUGAAAUUGCUCUAUGAGCUCAUGGAACUCAUAGCCUUAAGCUUGGGCUUAUCUGAAGACAGGUUAAAGCCUUAUUUUGACGAAAAUUUGUGUUAUUCUCGCAUCAAUUACUACCCACCAUGCCCAACUCCUGAGUUGGCUCUAGGCAAAGGCGCGCACAAGGACCACUGUGCCUACACAGUGUUAGCCACCGAUGAAGUAAGCGGGUUUGAGGUAAUGCGCAAGUCCGAUGGCGAGUGGCUCCGAGUCCGACCCAUUCCUGACUCUGUCAUCGUCGUCGGCGGCGACAUCUUGCAGGUAGUCCACUGAAAUCCAAUCUGUCUCUCUCUCUCUAUCUAUCUAUCUCAUCUGUCCAGGUGAUCCACGAAACGUAAUCUGAUGUUGUGUGGGAGAGUAGAUGCUUUUCUAUUUUAAGUGCAACUACAAAUUUUAAAGCACCCAAAAGGCCUCAAUGAAUCUGGAAAGGCCCACUCUUUCAUCUUUGACCUUUCUAAAAUGCCCCCCUAACAAGUUGCAAAAAAUAAUUAUGCUGAUAUGAUACACCAUUUUUUCAAAACUUAUCAAAUAGCAUUGACUAGUCUAUGCCAAUAAACUACAUCUUCCAUCUCUCACAAAGAACCCUGCCCACACCUAUGCCUUUAGCCUAUUUUUAAUUUUUUUUUAUUCACUUCACAUCUCACGAAAUAAAAGGCAGGUUUGGAGCAAUGAGAUUUACGAGAGCGUGGUACACAGAGCUGUGGUGAACUCCGAGAAGGAGAGGCUUUCUAUGCUCACUGUUGCCGCACCGGCAUUUGAGGUGAUGGUUGCGCCUCUCGAUGAGCUUGUGGGAGAGAAAACCCCUGCUAAAUAUAGAGCUUAUAAGUGGGGAGAGUUCUAUGGAGCAAGGAAGUUCAGCAAUUUCAGGAAGCUAGACACCCCUGUCCUUGAGGUGGCUGACUACAAGAUCAGAAGUUAGGGCAAGGCUAUCCACUAUCAUAUAUAUGCCUGAGUUUAGAUUAUCCUGUUUGUCUUGUGUCACUGUCUAAGCUCCUCUUGUGUCCCUGUCUAAGUUGUUAAUGUUCUGGUUUUCCCUGAAUAAUGGGAUAUUAUAUGACCCAGAUCCUUGCCUAUGUAGUUGGUCAUGUUCUGGUUUUCCCUUUCCCUGAAAAAUAGGAUCUUGAAUGUAAUAAAGAAUGGUUUUGUAGUAUGGAACUUCUCAUGGUGUAAAAUCUAUUAUGCUUAUUGUAAGACUUGCCCCAGGAGUGAGUCAAUCUUAUUUAUGCUUAUGUUCAUGUGAAUCUCCUCUCUCUCAUCGGAUUUUGCAUGACUCACUCAUUUUUUAAUCAGUUAGUGGUUUUUAAAGCUCUCGGGGGAAUGGAAACCACAACCCAUUGUAUGGGUGGAAACUGUUUCUGAGUGACUUACGUAGGGACUCUAAAAGUUUUUCUAAAAUACGAUAUACCAUUUAUAGGUAGAAAUUGCAAAGAACUUCGAUCAACCUCUUAUUUUUAUUUUUAUCAAAAUUACACCUCUGUCCAAAGAUAUCUUCGAACCGAUUUUUAUUUUUUAUUUUUUUAAGUGUUUUUUGUUAGUAAUAAAUUACCAUAAAACUUAAGCCAUUCUCUACUAACCAAAAAAAAAACUAAAAAAACUAAAAAUAAAAGUCAUGCUAAAUAUUCCAUCAUCAGAUCGAAGGACAAGUUUUGAAAAAAAUGAAAAAUACGAGGGUUAACCGACCUUCUUUCUAAUUUCUACCUAUAAAGGGAGGUUUUCAUAUUUUAUAAAAAAAAAUUAGGGUCCUGAUGUAAAAAAAAAUUAGGGUCCUGAUGUAAAUAACUCUUUAUUUUUCUCUUAAGAAAUUAAAAAGUUUUUAAGGGACUCGUGGAUGUGUUGCAAGUUAGGAGUGUUAGUGCCACAUAAAUCAAGUUAUAAAACCAUGUGCUUCUAUGUGCAACUAAAACGCUCUCGGACACUAAUUACAAUUGAUCAAAUAAAAUAGGAAAAGUUGUUUUAACGUAAAAAAGAAAAUAAAAGAUUUUGAAUCCCAGAAAUAGUGCAUCUUGCAAUACAUUAUCUAGACCUUCUAUUUUCAAGAUUUUCAUAUGUUUAUAGAUCUACUUGAUAUUGGUCAUUUUUUAGAGUUUCAAAAUUUUAUAAUUAAAUAUGAAAAUAGAUUUCAUAUAAUUCUAUGAAUUUUUUAAACGAAAAUUAUAUGUUAUGAUAAAAUUUGGAGCUGCGCCUUAAUUGGAUUGUUUAAAAUUGCAACCUUAUAGAGACCACACCCAAUAAAAUAUAGUCCAUACCAAGGUUUAAAAAAUCGAAUCGGUGACUUGAUUCAGUCACACCCAUACCCGUGUCAGAUCGGGGGGAUCGGAUCCAAAGAUUCGGGGGAAUUAGUAAUGUUUGUUUUAAUUUUUUUAAAUAAUAACUCAAGAAAAAAUUAUUCAUCCCUUUUUUUUUGCUUGACUCUGUGAUGAAUUGGUCGGAAUUGGUGAAGAAUUAGUCGGACUUGGUGAAGAAUCGUUGGAAUCAGCAGUUCCACAAAAAAUCGGCAACUCUACUAUUUGGAACCCCCGAAUCCCAUUUUUUACCUUAAUCUGAAACAUCCAAGGCAAUUCUUGAUCCGGAUCGCCCAAUUCCAGAUCGAGAUAGUGAUAUUUUAAACAUUGAUCCAUACUAUACUUUGUUUUGUGUUCUUCUAGGGGCUAUUUUCACGUCAUUGUUUCAUUAUAAGAUAUUAAAUUGGUUCUUUUAGACUGUGUGUUCAUGGAAUUUGCAUGACUCCAAAGUUUGAACUCACUCUCUUCAUCCAAAUGAUCAAUCUCAGCCCGAAAAAACUGCCUUCUAGAAAAAGCAAAGAGUAUUUCAACUCCAACAAUGAAUUUAGAUAACAUCGACUCGAAGUCUUUAAGAAUUCAAAAUUUAUUUUCCUUUUUUUAAGUCACUCAUCUAACACUGAUAAAGUGGUCCAUAAAAUUUAGAAUAAAAAAUAGGGCAAGCUUUCUAUACUUCCCCUACUAUAUAAAACUAAUAUACUUCCCCUUAUCCGACGGUCCAACCAUUCUGAAAGAACAGCUGAGAUGGCCCCAAUUACAAUGUCACGCCUCUACAUUAUUUAAGUUUUAAUUAUAUUUUUACAAAACUUUUUGUUGUCAAAUUUUUAGUGUCCAUUCCUCUCUUAAACAUGCACCUGUAAAAAAAAUAAAACAAAUAUUCCCAAUAAAAAAGACCAAAAAUGCCCCUUAAACUUUAGAGGUAUUUUUUUCAUUUUAUUUUAUCAAAAAUAUUUUUUAUUUGUGCACCCCAUUAAGAUGAUAGCAUGUACCAAAUUUUAUAUUAAUAUAAUUUAUAAAAAAUAAAAUAUUAUGAGACGUCAGAUCUCGAUCACACGGUCAUUGGGCUUACUUGAUCUAAAUUGGAUGGCUAGAUGGGGAGGGAAGUAUAUAGAAGUAUUAAACUGCCUAUAUUCAUUGGGUUAAAAGAAGGUCUUUUAAUGAGUUUGUUUGGAUUUUUUUUUCUUUUUUAUAUUGUUUAUGAAAAUAAAAGAGUGUGGGUUUAAAUAUUGAGAUUAAACAAAGGAAAAAGUUUAUAUAAGGCCUCUAAUUGAUCAUCUCAGCAUCAAGAUGUAUGAAUAUGAUAAAAUAAGAUUUCGAGUCUGAGAAAUAAUAUAUCGUACGUCACAUUAUCUUGACCAUCCAUUUUCAAAAAUUUCAUGAGUUUAUUGAUCUACUUGAUUUGAACUAUUUUUAGAGUUUACAAUUUUAGGAUUAAAAAUAAAAAUAGAUUUUGAAGCCAUCCUAAGAAUUAUUUAUAUCAAAAUCAGAUAUUACUUGGAUUGUUUAAGGUUGCAAUCUUAUCCAAACCACACCCUGAAACAAAUGUGCCUAAUUGUUUUAACCGUAAAUUUGAUUAUAUUUCUGUAAAAUCAUUGCAUAAAAUCACUGUCGUGUUUAACGGUACCAAAAAAGACAACGGGUCAAACAAUAUCCGUAUCUAUCUAAUCAAAUAGAAUAUCGGUGUCACCGAUAUCCAUCAUUAUCCAUUCUACCGUAAUCCAUGCAAACUCUUAAAUCAUAUAAUAUAAUUCAUAGACAAUGUUAAAUCAUAUAAUGUAAUAAAAUUAUAAAAUUGGGAUUAGCCUUGAUUAUGCGAUUUAAUAAAGAGCAAUGAAGGGGGUACAAGGCAAAGAAAGUCCACUUAAAUUAAAUAAGAGGUGCUUAACCACCACCAACAGAAUGGCAUGUCUUGAUUCUCGCAUUUAAUAUUAAUCAAAUAUUAAAAUGGUAAGUUAAACGUUUAAUUGUUUUAAAUGUCAUAAAAACUGAAACCAAUGACGUCUUGACAUUGAUUGGUCCAUCAUAUUUUAACAUGCCAUAGGAGAACGGUGAACUUGCUGGGCUCUGGGUGUUUAGAUAAACGUCUUCGAACUUCAAACAACACACAUUCCUGAUCGAAGUUCUAAAACCUGGCUCGAGCCUCGAGCUCCGCCCCUGCUUGGAUCGAGUUACUCUGGGUCAGUUCAAUUCGACAUGGCUAUAUCGUGUACAACCUCAAGUUAGAUUAGAAAUCUAUAAGAUUUAUAAAAAAAUUAUUAAGGUCAGGUCUUUAUAGAAAAAAAAUAAAUAAAUAUAUAAAGCCCUACCUCGAAACUCGCCUAAAAUUAUACUAACGGAUUUAAAGAACCUUCAAUUUCGAUCAACUUGACCUUGAUCUUUAUGAUUGUUAAAAAAAAUAUUGGACUUUAUGACCUAAAAAUAAUGUAUAUUGUAACACAUUAUCUAAACAAUCAAUUUUAAAGUGAUCAAUCAUAACUAGUGGUGGAAAUAGAUUUUGGAACGAUCAUUACAAAUUUUCCAUGGCUGAAUUGUUUUUUGGACAAUAUCCUGAGGUGAACCUCUAUUUAUUUUAUUUUGGGCAAUAUUUCUAUGCUUUCCUUACAACAUAUAUCUUUUAUGCUUCCCCCUAUCCAACCGUCCAUUUUGAAUGGAGGGCUACGGUUGCCCCAAUCACAAUGUCACGUCUCUACACUUUUGUUAUUUUUAAUUUCUUAUGUAAAAUAUUAUUUUUAAUUUCUUAUGUAAAAUAUUAUGACAUCAAAUUUUGGGUGUCCAAUCCUCUAUUAAACUCACAUUUGUAAAAAAUAUAAAAAAUAUUCCCAAUAAAAUAAAAGACCAAAAUACCCCUAAAAGUUUCAAGGUGUAUUUUAGUUAUUAUAUUCUAUCGAAAAAUUAAUUUUAAUAUUUUUUAUAGGUCCGCCCCAAUGAGAAGACGACACUUACCAAAUUUUAUAAUCAUAAAAUUUGUAUUAAAAAAAAAAAUUUAAAAUAAAAUACUCUGAGGCGUCGGAUCUAGGAUCAAAUGGUGAGCGGCUCACUUAAUCAAAAUUGGAGGACUAGAUAGUAGGGGAAGCGUAGAUCUUCUAUGUUUUAGGGAAAGUAUAGAAACCUUUCCUUUUUAUUGUUAUAAGGGCCAGUCUUAUAGAAAUUACAUCCUAGCAAAAAUUUGUGAGGCUUUUUUAAUGGGUGUGGUUUCUAUAAGGUUGCAACCUUAAACAAUUCAAUUAAAGCUACCUCCAAAUUUUAUCAUAACAUGUAAUUUUGGUGUAAAAAAUUCUUAAGGUUAUCUUAAAAUUGAUUUUCAUCUCUAAUUAUAAACUUUUAAACUCCAAAAAUGACUAAAAUCAAGUAGAUACAUAAACAUAUCAAAAUCUUGAAAAUGGACGGUCUAGAUAAUGGGUUGUAAGAUGCCCUAUUUUUGGUACUCAAAAUCUUUUUCUUUUUUCAUAUUCAUACAUCUCGAUGUCGAGAUGAUCAAUUAGAGGGUUUUUCAACAUUAAAACAACCUUGUUCGAUGGAUUUUUGAGGUACAUUUUUAAUUCUACAUUUUAAGGUUUCAACCUAAUAUAAACUUUUUCCUUUUUUUAAUAUGUAUUUUCAUUUAUCAUUUAGAUUUUCCUUGUUAAAUUUUAAGUUUUCAACGAUAUUCUAUAACAUUGCUUCCCGUUUUUCAAUUAGACGAAGCGAUAUGGCGUCCCUAGAAACGUGCCAGAUGCUCAUUUGUCAGCAUUUGGAAGGUGUUAGGUUGUUUUUCUUUCUUCCUUAUUUUAAGAGUUGUAUAGUCCCGCGGGUGCAUGCUAUAUGCUUUUUUCGGUCCAUUGGAAAGAAAUUUUUUUAGAAGAAACUUUGGGAAUACACUUGAACCACUAGAUUAUUAUUUUCAAAAGAAAAAAUAAUAAUUUCCAUUUAAAAAAAAAUAUUGAGUUCUCUAACAAUUAACCUUUCAUUAUCCAAAAUUGUCGUCUUCAGUCGUUCUUUGAACAUUAGUGUUUUACAAGCACAUCAAGAGAGAGAUUUGGAGAUUUGUUUUGUUUGCUUCUUUGUUUUUACUUUUAUUUUUUUAAAGGUUAAUCUUGAGGUUACAUCCCCAAGACUUGGGAUCCUAAAAAAUAAUUGCAAAUUAAAUUUUACCCAAGAAAAUAAUGAGUGUGACUGGGAGAUUUUUAGUUUUUUUAAUUAAGGUUAAUCUUCUGAUGUUAUAUCCCCAAUACUUGGGAUCCUAAAAAAUAACUGCAAAUUAAAUUUUACCGAAGAAAGUAAUGGACAAUGUGCUCGUGAUGGAGCACAAAUUCUUUUGGCUUAACAUUUACUAUGAAUUUUCAGACGUUAUUAGUCUUUUAGAGGAAACGAUUGUAUUCUAUAACAUGACAAUAUAAUAAUAAAAUAUUUAUUAUUUAAUCGCAAAUCAAGACUAAUCCCACUUUUAUGAUUUUAUUAUAGGGAAAAGUUUAUAUAAGGCCAAGGCUAUAAACAAUUUGAGCCUGCCUCAAAAAUUUUACUGUAAGGGGUUGUUUUGAUGCCCAAAUAUCCUCAAAUUGAUCAUCUCGGCAUCAAGAUGCAUGAACAUGAGAAAAAAAUGGAUUUCAAGUUUUGGAAAUAAUAUAUUUUGUAAUGAAUUUUUAGACCAUCAAUUUUCAAGAUUUUCAAGUUUUCAUAGAUCUGUCAAUCUACACGAUUUUUGAAGCUUUUAACUUUAUAAAUAAAGAUGAAAAUAUAUUUUAAGUCUAUCACAAAUAUUUCCAGUAUUGAAACCACAUUUCUCGACAGCAUUUGAAGGUAGGCUCUAAUUUGAUUAUUUAAAGCCUAGGCUCUAUACAAACCAUACCCUUUAUUAUAUUAUAUAAUUUAACAUUGAAUAUGAAUUUUUUCACGUUAUUAGUUCUUCGGAUGAAACAAUUAUAUUCUAUGAUAAUAUAAUAAUAUAAUAUUUAUUAUAGGGUACGGUUUAUAUAGAGCCAACGCUCUAAACAAUCAAAUAAACACACCUUCAAAUAGUGUCAAGACAUGUGGUUUCAAUAAUGGAAAUGUUUGUGAUAGCCUUAAAAUAGAUUUUUAUCUUUCAUUAUAAAGCUUUAAAAAUAGGGCAGAUCUAGCAGAUCUAUGAAAACUUGAAAAUCUUGAAAAUUAAUAGUCCACAAAUGUUUUACAAGAUAUACUAUUUCUAAAACUUGAAAUCCAUUUUCAUCUCAUGUCCAUUCAUCUUGAUGUUGAGAUGAUCAAUUUGCGGAUAUUUGAGCAUCAAAACAACCUCUUCCAGUGAAAUUUUUGAGGUGGAUUCUAAUUUGAUUGCUUAGAGCCUCGGUUCUAUAUAAACUUUUUUUCCUUAUUAUAUUUUGUACAACUUUUUUGUAUUAUAUGAUUUAACAUUGAAAAAUGGUUUGAUAGAGUUGCGGCCCUAUCAAAAUAAAAAAAGCCUCACCUCAUAAUUCAUUGAAAAUUAAAAUUCAAGCAUUGCAAAACCCUUGCAUCGAUCAUUUUGGCUUGAACAUUAUGGUUGUGAAAACAAAUUAAGAUUUCAAGCUCUAAAAAUAGUAUCUAUUGUAACAAAUUAUCUAAACCGUCCAUUUCGCCCUAAAAAUAAGUGUUCAUAGAUCCGCAAGAUCUUUACCUUUUUUUGAGUUUUAAAUUUCAUUGUCGGUAUUGAAAAUUGAUUUUAGAGCCAUCAUGGAGAUUUUCAUAGCCGAAAGGACUUUCCAAACGAGGAUUUGAGGUCAGGCUAUAUUUUGCUUUCAUGGCACCUAUACCUUAUAGAAACCUCAUCUUUUAACAUUUAUGAGGAUUUGACAUGUUUGGAGGGUUUUUCCGGCAGUUUUGAAACCGAAGUACUACCAAAAUUUUGCCAAUCUUGGUUUUAGAUUAUGUUAUCGAAUCAACAAAUUACUGUUUUGUUUGUAAAUAAGAGUAAAUACUCAGUGAGCAAACAAGCUUGUAAAACAAUAUAGAGUAGACGAGAUUAUAGAAGUGGGGCAGUUUGUGUUGAGUAGCGCAACGGAAAAUUCAUGCUCAAAAUGAGAACCUUGUGCAUUUAUCAGAUACCAUGCACACAUGUGCACACCAAAUUUGGAGAGAAACUAUUUCCUUGAUUUAUUAAUAAAAACAUCAUAUGAAAAUACGCAAAUAUCUCUACUACUCUAUCUAUAGCUCACGUCUGAUGCCUCUCUGUCUCAUGUAAUUUGCCACAAUGCCUACCUCACAGUAAUUCCCCCCUUUUUAUUACAGGAAAAAUUUUAUUUAAGGUUGACACCUUAAAAUGUAGAAUUAAGGUGCACCUCUAAUAUUUUUUAAAAAAAGUUGUUUUGAUUUUGGAAAAAUAUCUAUUAUCAUCUUGAAAUCGUGAUUUAUAGGUAUGGAGAAAUAAAGAGAUUUCAAGUCCUAACAAUAGUAUACCUUGCAAUACAUUAUUUGAACCGUCUAUUUUUAAGAUUUUCUUAUGUUUAUAAAUCUGCUUGAUUUGAACCAUUUUUUAAAUUUAAAAUUUUAUAAGCAAGAAUAAAAAUAGAUUCUCAUACUAUCCUAAGAAUUUUCGACACUAAAAUUGCGACAAAGUUUCGAGACACACCUUCCUUUCAUUUUUAAGGUUGGAAUCUUAUGCAAACCACAUCUUUUUUUUAACCUUAAAAGGAGAUAACUGCAAACAAAAAUAAGGACUUCUAACUCUAAAGGUAAUUCAUGUAGAACUUCUAACCCAAGAGCAAAUCUCUUCCUAUCUUAAGAUAACCAAAACAUUGAGUUUAGUUUUUUUUUUUUUUUGAACUGCAAAACAUUAAGUUUAGGCUGUUCCUCAAUAUUAUAAUCAUUAACUCCAACGGGAUUAGAAACUCGAAAUAGAGAUAAGGGAAAAGUUUAUAUGGAGCCUAGGCUCUAAACAAUCAAAAUUGAGCCUAUCUCAAAAAUUUCAUUAGAAGAGGUUGUUUUGAUUCUCACAUAUCCUUAAAUUGAUCAUCUCGACAUCAAGAUGAAUGAACUUGAGAAAACAAUGGAUUUCAAGUUUUGAAAAUAGUACAUCUUGUAAGGCAUUUUUGAACCAUCAAUUAUUAAGUUAUUCAAGGUUUCAUAGAUUUGCUCGAUCUACACUAUUUUUUUAAGAUUUAAAUUUUAUAAUUAAAUAUAAUAAUAUAUUUUAAAGCUAAUAAAAUAUUUCUAAUAUUGAAACCACAUUUAAUCAACACCAUUUGAAGGUGGGCUCCAACUUGAUUGCUUAGAGCGUCGGCUCUAUAGAAACCGCACCCGAUAGAUAAUUCCUAUCUAGCGACAAUCUCUGACGGUCGGCAGUACAACUGGGCGAUGUAGCUAAUUUAGUGCCGACAAUCAAGAUAGUGUCAGCUAAAUAAUUGAGAGACUCUGCAAUUUGAUAAUAUAAUUUCAUUUCUUGCACCUCACUUUUUUUCCGUCACACGUAUCGGUAGUGCUGUCUUGAGUUGGGAGCUACUUGAUUUGCACAAUUAUGACAUCGUGCUUUCUCUUUUUUCACAUCGUUUAAGAUGGACAAGGUGUAUAACACAGCCAAAUUGAUAAAUUACUUUGCAGUAAGACAUUUUGUGAAUCCUUCGACAAUGAAAAUUAUGCUUAUUGAUAUGUUUUAAGAAUUUCGUCCUCUCUAUAGUUCAUAUUCUUGUUGGAAAUUAGAAAGCGGAAAUAUAUUUCAAAUCCCAAGUCAGUGUUUUAAAAUCUAGGCGAGAUGAACUGGCCAACCAGAAAUCUGCUCCGCGACAGGGAAUUGCUUAUCCUGAUUGGUGCAUUAAACUAGUUCUCUAUCACGAGAAUCGGUCCAAUAAUUAAAAAUUUUAAAACAAAAAUAUAUAACCAGGCAGAAGAUCAUGAACUCAGAAUUGUGUGAAUCGAACCAGAUCAGCCAGUUUAUAUCAAUCUGCGGAAGAAUAUAAAAUAAAAAAAUUAAAUAACAAUAAAAAAUAUUUUGUAUAACAACCUAAUCUAAUUUUCUAAUACUUUUUAAUCAUUUUCUAGUAAAUUGUUUUGUGAUAAAUUGCUUUUUAAAACUUUUUAUGAUCAACUAUUCAUCAUCCAAAUAUAAUAAUUAUUUCAAAUUCAAAUCCAUUUAUAUAUUAUUUUUUAAGAUAUAAACCAUGGGAUUUUUAACAUUCAAAUAAAUAAAUAAACCACAAUUACUUUAUAGAAAAAUAUAAAUUUAUAUAGAAAGCUAGAAAAAUAUAUGGGAUUGUACAUGAUGAGAUCAUUUACCUUUGAAAUAGAGAGGUCACAAUUACUUACAAUCAUCCGACGUAAAAUUUGAACUUUGAGCUUGGUCAUUGAAAUAAAUGCAGCCACCCAAUUUCACACUCAAGGUUUAGAAAUAGUGCAUCUUGUAAUGCAUUUUUGGACUGUCAAUUUUCAAGAUUUUUAAGUUUUCAUAGACGUGUUCGAUCUACAUUAUUUUUAAAGCUUUAAAUUUUAUAAUUAAAAAUAAAAUAUAUUUUAAAGCUAUCACAAAGAUUUCUAUUAUUGAAACCACAUCUUUCAACACUAUUUAAAAAUGAGCUUUACUUUAAUUGUUUAGAUUGUCGGUUCUAUACAAGCUGCAGCCUAUAGAAACAAGCAGUAAAGUUCGACUGCGUUGUUGUCACACUGGACCAUUGGGCAGCAGCUAAAUACCAAACUUUGCGUGUUUUCUUUCACUUUGAAUAGAGGAAAUGGAUUUUUUUCCAAAAAAGAAGACGAAAAGAAAUGGUUUACACGAGUCAACAUCUUAACUACCGCAUGAAAGGUGUCCUUAAGAGAGAAAAAAGCUUAUAAGGUUUAACUUUAUACUAUUGACGUAAGGUGCGGCCUCACAAAUUCCAUAGAGAGCGUUCCGGGUUGACGCAAGGUGCGCCUCCCAAAUUCCAUAGAGAGGGUUCCGGAUUGGAGAACCCUAAGAGUGAUUGAUCUCGAGAUGGAUGGACGUGAAAAAAAUAUAUAUAUAUUUUCAAGUCUAAAAAGUGGUACAUUUUGUAAAAAGUUAUCUGGAUUUUUUAUUUUUUAGAUUUUUAAAUGUUUUUAUAUCUUCUUGAUCUGCACUGUUUUUGAAGUUUUAAAUUUUAUAAUUGAAAAUAAAAAAAUAUUUUUAAAUCAUUAUAAGAUUUUCAACACCAAAACGACAUCUCUAACUAAAUUUUUGUAAAUGCACCUUGCUUAUACAGUAUAAAGAGACAACCUCAUACAAACCUCACUCAUUGAAAAAUCCUCCCAAAAGUGGUUUUGAUAUUAAAAAUCCUCCCAUCAUGGUGAGGAUUCCGCCCAAAGGUUCAUAUUACUGUUUAGUUUAUUGUAAGAAAGGAUAUUGAAAUUUAUAUAAUUAAUUAUUUUUAACAGGGGCACGUUGAUGGGCCUUGGUCGGUUUGAUAUUAUUAAAAUAUACAUUUAAUGAUUUUGAUAGGGACUGAUCAACUUAGACAUGGGUUGUUGAGUUCUUGGAACAUGUCGCUUGUGGAAUUAGAAACUUUAAAUACCAGGAUCCCACUCAAAGUCGAGUAUAUAAUUGGUUAAAUGUAAAAUAAAUUAAUAUAAUUAUAAAUUGAGUGUAAGAAAUAUAUUAAAAAUCAAAAUACACUAUAAUGACACACGAUUUAGGUGGUUCACCCCGUACGGCUACAUCCCUUCUUCGUAAUCAUGUAGAGAUAGUUCCUUUUUCUUAUGUUGGACCCUGUGGCACUAACUCCUCUAAUAAAGCUGAAAUGUGUUCCCUUAUACAAAGGCUAGAAAUUAUUAUAGAUGAGGGUUUCUCAGGAGACAUUCUUAUUGAGGGAGAUUUUCUGAAUAUCUUGGACUUAUUAAUGAAAUCUUUGUAAUCUUGUCAAAAAAAGAAAACGAAAUUUGCUGAAUUUUGUUAAAUGGUGCAGGCAGGAGCAAAAGGUCCCUUAGCCCCUACAUAUCCUAUAGAUUAAAUUACUUGAUCUUUGUGCUUCUCCGAGACUAUGGGUUUUGUUCUGCCAUACCUAUCUUGAAGCCAAUGUUGCAGUGGAUAAUCUUGCUAAGCAUUAUCUACAAAGAGACCAUUUAUCUUUUGUAUAUGGAUGUCAUAAUCAUUCAUACUCAUUAGAUGCCAUAUUAGAUGGCUUGGGGUGAGUGACGAAGUUCAAGAUUUUUUUUUUUGGAACUUUGUAUCUACUCAAUGGCACUCUUACAACCACCCAUUUAAAUUUUAAGGGACAAAAAUAAUUGUGACCUCCAUGUAUAAAAAAACAAAUGGUCUCUUUGUAGGCAAGCCCUUUCGGAAAAUAGUCACUUAAUCUUUUUUCUCUUCAAAUAUGACAUUGAAUCGGGGACUAGGAGUUGCCGCCAAUUUGUUUUGAGAGUUUAGAUAAGCAAUUUCUACCCUUCAAAUUCCCAGAUUUGAAUUUUUUUUUUUCCUUGAUAUCAUCCAUAAAUUCUUAUUAAUUUUUAAUUAUUGAUUCGGCUAAUCUAGGUCAUCCGAUCCAAAUCUCUUUAGAUCAACUUAAAUGAAUCAAGUUUUGAUAUAAAUCUACUUAAAUUCAUUUUUAAUUAUAAGCUAUAUUAGGGUACUCGUACAUGUGAGUAUUUCUUUAAUAUACUCAACAAACCCUUACUGUACCAUGUAGUAGCUUUUUUAUUUAGGGAUAAUUCAGGUAAUUAAUUAGGGUAAAAUUGAAAUUCUUGACGGAAAAAAUAGCAUUUUGUAAUUAUCAUAGGGAAUGACAUCAUCCAUAUAAGAUGUGAUAUGACAUGACCCACAUGGAACAAUAAUUACUUCUUAACCACUUGUAAAAUAACACUAGUUUCUUAUAAAAAUAUCUAUUCUACACAUCCUUAUGAUCAAACAAUUCAUAUCAAUCAGUUUUCCAUAAAUGAUCUUUUUGAAUGUUAUGUGCAAACCAUGUGAAUGUCAAAAGUUCAAUUGAUCAUGGUGUCUUGUAAAACAAAGCUCAAAAUCUCAUAAAACAUAAAUCAUUUGAAAAAAAAUAAGAGUUUUAAGUAAGGAAAGUUUAAAUAAGGGUGACGCUUCGAUGCCCAAAAAUCCUUAAAUCGAUCAUCUUUGACCUCAACUUGUAUGUACAAGAAAAAUAAAUAAAUUUCAAGUCUUCACAUCUUUAAAAUAAGGGUGCAGUUUGCAUACGGAUGCAUCCGUAGGUCUAGAGGUAAGGUGCACAUUCAAAUUUUAUAAUGAUAUAUAAUUUUGAUGUAAAAUGUUCUUAGAAUUAUCUCAAAAUCGAUUUUUAUAUCUAAUUAUAAAAUUUUAAAUUUCAAAAAUAGUUAAAAUGAAGUAGAUCUAUAAACAUAUGAAAAUCUUGAAAAUGGAUGAUGUAGAUAAUAUGUUGUAAACUGCACUAUUUCUGAGACUUAAAAUCUUUUUAUUUUUCAUAGUCAUGCAUCUCGAUGUCAAGAUGAUCAAUUAAAGGGUUUUUCAACAUUAAAACUACCUUUUCCAAUGGAUGUUUGAGGGGCACCUGUAGUUCUACAUUUUUUUUUUUGACAAAUAAACCGUAGUUCUACAUUAUAAGGUAGCAUCCUUAUAUAAACUUUUUCCAUAAAUUAAUGUAUCUUGUAUUGCAUUUUAAAUAAAGUGCACCUCAAAAACUCAUCGGCAAAGUUGAAUGAUACUGAAAAAUCCUUCCAUUAAAAUCAAUCAGUUUUCCAUAUUCAAAGUGUUUUUUUUUUAAUUUCUUGCAAAAAUCGUUUGAUUGUCAACAAUUAAAAAUGGAUCAUGCUUUCUUGGAACCAAAGAUCAAAAUCUUAAAAGCAUAAAGUGAAGUGCAUAUCAAAAACUCAUCGAAAAUGGCCAUUAUGAGGCUGAAAAAAAAAAUUCAAUCGUCUAACUUUAUAACUUCAAGAUGAGUGAUGGUACUUUGCAAGGGCAUUUAAAUAAAUUUAAUACUCUUAUGGGAAAGUUGAUGGGACUAGAUGUGAAAGUUGUUGAGGAAGAUAAGACAUCCAUAUUACUUUGUUCCAUACUGAAAUUAUUGGGAUGAACUGAUCAGGAUUCUCAAUACUGCAAAGCAUCUAGAACUUAAUUUUGUUGUGUUUGCACUUCUUAAAGAGGAGUUUAGGUGGAAGUUCAAUAAAAGAUAAUCUGAGAAUGUAUUUAUAGCAUGGUAGAUCAAUGAAGAGAACUGCAGGAGUGAGUUUGUCUUGAUCCAUGUCAAAAAUACAUAAGAAAGUGAAGUGCAUAGGUUGUAAAAAUUAUGUAAUGUGAGGAAAGAUUGCAAGUUUUUUUGAAAAUGAAGAAGUUUUGUCCAUGGAUAGAGAGGAAAUGUUGUACUAUUGAAUACUUGAUUCAGAUGCAUCCUUUCAUAUAUCUCCACGUAAGAAUUGGUUUUACAAAUAUGAACUAUGUGAUGGAAAAAUAGCUUACAUGGGAAAUAAAGACUCAUGCAAAAUAAUAUGAAUUGGAGGCAUGGGAAUCAAGAUGCUAAAUGAGGUGACACUAAAUCUCUUGCGUAAGGCAUUUUCUUCUGGUCUCACAGUGAGUCUCUUAGUCUUAAGAAAAUUUGAUGAGUAAGGUCAAGUUUACAGGUGAUAACACUAAAUCUCUUGCGUAAGGCAUUUUUUUCUGGUCUCACAGUGAGUCUCUUAGUCUUAAGAAAAUUUGAUGAGUAAGGUCAAGUUUACAGGUGAUAAUGGAUGUCUGAAAAUUUCAAAAGGAAUAAUAAUGGUUGUGCAAGUUGUCGACUACUUACAGCCAUUUGAUUGGAAAUCAAGUGGCUAAGGUUGUGUCACGAAGAUUAGUAAAAUAUUUAUUGAGCUUUGAGUGCGUUAAUUACAAAACCCUAACCAUCUGAUUUUAAAUCUAACCUUUCUGUACUAAAUAUAACCAAUCCAAUUGCAUACUUUUCUUUAAUAUCUUUUGGGCAUUUUAGUUAGGAGUUAAAUUGCCAAUGCAACUCGGAUUUGUCCGCGUUCGGAUCAUUGAUUGUGGUCCCAAGAGUCCUAGAACUGCUCUGAUUCUUUGCGUUUUUUAGCUUCUAUUUUCAAGUCAUGUUUGUUAAAUUUGGACAAAACUGGUUUGAUUAAAUUGAAAUGGACCCUGGCGAGUAGUAGUAGAUUUCCAGUUUUGAAAUUACUGUGUAGGCUCCACUUUCCUUUGCCCUUUGUGUUUUGUGUCGACAUGUCCAGAUGCGUCUAAAGAUCUAUUGGUGUGACCGAAUAACACGGAGCGUCUAAAUGUAGGCACACCGUGUUUGAAUAUCAGAUACACCUACCUACUCUAUGGUUUACUUUGUAUGACUUGCCUACUGAUCUAUUAAAUGAAGGUUCAAUGUACAUGAUAUGAAUGCUGACUGCAUAUAAAAAAUUUGGUUGUCCAGUUUUAGAGAUAUCGGGCAGGCACAAUUUUUUUUUUUUUUUUUUUAUUAUUUUUCGAUGCGGUUCAAUAUUGGAGAUACAAUGCAUUUCAAAUGGAAAACGCUAAGUAAGGGAUGGUCCAAUGUAUCUAAUAUCAGCCGGUCAAAAAUGGAUCGGUCCAAUAUUUGGUACAUCGAACAGCUGAAAAUAUCAAUCAUAGAAAUUAAAAAAAAUAAAAAGUAGUCCUUGAUGUUUGCAACAUCAGAUCAGUUUUUUUCAUGAACGUUCUCUUCCUGGACAGUGGUUUAGCUGUAGAUUAGAGAUAAGUCUAUUCUAAGACAAUAGUUCAGUUGUAGAAUAGAAAUCAUAUAUUUGCAAGUGCUGUCGUUUGGGAAAGCGGGUCUAAAAGAGUUUUCUCGAGUGGGUUUGGUUGAGGGUUAAAUAGAAAAGCAACCGGUGAUGACAUGAGGGAAAUUUGUCAUAAAGUUUCGAAAAUUUUCUUUCCAAGUUUGAGCUUGAUCAACUAAAUAAAUACAGCAACCCAAUUUCACAUUCAAUGGUUAAAAUCAAUUGUGACAAUCGUGUGCCAAAAGUAAAUGGUUUCAUUAUAUACUUUUUCAUAUAAUUAUAUAGGUAUAAAACCCCAAUUUUUUCAAAACUUAACAAACAGUAUUGAAUAAUGGUAAAGUAUGUAAUGAGACUAUUUAUCUUUUCUACAAGAUGGUCACAAUUAAUCAUGACCAUUGGAUGUGAAAUUAGGCGGCUACAUUUAUUUCAUUGACCAAGCUGAAAGUUCAAAAUAAAUUUUUUCAAACUUUGUGACCCAUCCAAGCGUUAGAUUUCACAUUGGAUGGUUGUAAGUAAUUGUGCCCUCCCUAUUCCAAAGGAAAACAGUCUCAUUGUAUAAAUCCCUUGAAUAAUCUAUGCCAACAAACUAGAUCUUCCAUCUAUCACAAAGAAGACCCUUGAGCCAAGCCAAGGGAUUCAUCUAUCGCAAUACUGUAAAGUCCCCUAUGUGCGGUAAAAAUAAAACUCAAGGCAUCCACCACCCUCUAGGCCCCUAAAGACAAUUGGUCAAAUAAAAUAUAAGGAAAAUGUCUCCAUAAACCCCAUUUUCAACUUUCAUUUCUUUCUAAACUAAAUAUUUCAAAACCUAUCUUCUAACCCCCUAAAUAACUUUAUCAAUUUUUAUUCCAACUUUUAAUCCAAACAAAUUAAAAAAGAUAUUUUUUUUCUAACUCUAUCUCUCUCCUCACAUGUUUCAAUCUAUUCUUCUUCUUACCCACCUUCUCCCUAGCUGUUCUCUUGCUCUUACUCUCGCCCUGCAAUGGGGUCACCUAGCUGCUCUCUUGCUCUUACUCUUGGCCUGCAAUGGGGUCACCAUCUUCUGACUCCAUCUCCCUUUUCUGGCAAAGCCCACAUCAGAAAAGAAUAGGUCUUGGUUAAGGCAAACAUCAUCGCCUCUUGUAGUUUUCCGGCGAUCCAUUGUUAUAUCAGGCGCACAACGGGAUUCUUCAUAGGCUGAAGAUUCAUGGGAGAAAUAUAGUUAUAUCAGGUGCAAUACGGCGAUCCAUGGUUAUACCAUUGAAUUUUAAACCCCUUUAUCUAUAUCUGCCUCUCUCUCUUCUGUCCAUCUCCUCCCUUCUUUCCCUCUCUGGUCAUCUUUUCAAAAUUCUGAAAUUGAAGACUUCUUCAAGAUCAUUUCUCUUGGGAUGAGACUGGACUCUCAGAUUGGGAUCAACUUUGAUUAAUAGAAAUUAAUGGAGGAAGUUCGUUUGCCUUAGGAUGAGGGAUUAAUGGUAUGUUGUAGUUUUACGGAUUUUAUAGUGAAAUUUGGGGGAGAAUGGCUGGAUUUUGGCUAGAAAGUGAGCAAAAUAAGCUGGUUUAUGGUGGUGAUGGUGAAAUUUGCUGGUUUAUCAGAUGUUUCCUUUUCUUGAGUUGAGCAGGCCGCCGGAAUUUAUUAUCGGAUGAUUUGGCCGGAAGCUUUCGCCGGAGAAUGAGGAUUGAUGAUUUUCUUGAAGUGGGUUUUGGGGGGUUUGUGUUAUCGUUCAGUUGGGAUUCUCUCUUGAGCUUACAUGUUUCUUUUUUUUCAUUAUUGAAACUUGGAGCCCAUCAUCACCUCUUGUGGUUUUCUUGCGAGUAGGUGACCAGGGUAGUAUAGUUUACCGGCGAGUAGGUGAGGGGGAGAGAGAGAGAGAGAGAGAGAGAGAGGUUCUAGAGGUUGAUCAGGGGAGAGAGAAAGAGAAUCAUGUCAAGAGUGAGAGGGGUUUGGAAACAAUGUGUUUUUAAAAUUUGUUUGGGUCAAAAAAAUUAGUAAAAAAUGAAUGAAAUAUGCUUAAGGGGUUAGGAGAUAUAAUAGAGUGAAUUUCUAUGUAGUAAGAUAGGUUUUUUCAACUUGAGGUCAAUGGAGAAAUGAAAGUUGAAAGUAGAGUCUAUGGAGAUAUUUUCUCUAAAUUAUAUGGUGUGUUUUCUUUUGGGGCCAUCUCACAUCAUUGUCUUACUAUAAUUUAUUAAAAUAUAUUUUUUAGAAAGUAUGCGUAUACCAUUUGUAUGACUCUAAAUUCUAAAUAUGCACUCUCAUCAUCUUAAUGAUCAAUCUCAGCAAGAAAAAAUCUCAUUUAUAUCUUAGAAAAAGUAAAAAAUAGUUCCACUCCAACAAUGAAUCUAGACUAUGCAUUUAUUGGAUAUUAGACAAAGGUUAUUAAGAAUUCAAAAUUUAUUUUUCGUUGUUCAAGUUGCUUAUCUAACGGUGAAAAGGCCAUCUAAAAAACUUGGAAUUAAGAAGAAAAAAAAAAUAGCCCUCAAACAAAUAGAUCUAAUCAUCCCAAACCAGUGAUUUAAAAAAUUCAGAGUCGACCCGGAAUCGCACCGAGUUGACACGAAAAUCAACCACUAAUUUUUAUGACUCUUGGGCGUCUCUUUUGCCACGUGCACCUCGCUACGGCUAACCCGAGCUGUUCCCACAUGCAUGCUCUACAAAAACCCGCAUUUUUGGGUAAUGGGAAAGCUUUUAUACAUGCCAAACCUCUCCUGAUUUGUCGAUGUGGGAUAACAAUGGAGGCUGUAGAGUAGAUAUCUCUCUUUGUGUGUUAUAUAAUAAAUAAAAUAAAUGACAUUUAGUUAAUAGCAUUAGUUAAUUCUUCUUUAUAGUGUUUAAGGCAUUAUACCGUUAAAGGCAUUAGUUAAUAUCAUUUUCCUCUUUUUGGCUUCGUACCGUUAAAUGCAUUAGUUAAUAGCGUUAAAUGUUAAUGGGAAAAGUUUAUAUAAGGUUGCAACCUUAAAAUGUAGAAUCACAUAUGCACCUCAAAAAUCUUUUCAUCUUGAUAUCGAGAUGUAUGACUAUAAAAAUAUAUGUAUAUAUUUUGAGUCCCAGAAAUAGUUCAUCUUGCAACACAUUAUCUAGACUGUCUAUUUUCAAGAUUUUCAUAUAUUUAUAGAUCUACUUGAUUUUAACCAUUUUUAGAAUUUAAAAUUUUAUAAUUAGAUAUGAAAAAUAGAUUUUAAGAUAAUCCUAAGAAUUUUUUACAACAAAAGUACAUGUUAUGAUAAAAAUUUUAGGUGCGCCUUAAUUGGAUUGUUUAAAGUUGCAACCUUAUAGAAACCGCACCCUUAGUUAAUAGCAUUGGUUAAUAACUAAAUGGCAUUAAUUAACAUCAUUUAAGGCUAGGUUUUAAAGGUUUGGACCUAGCUUUUUAUCAAAAAAUCAAUGGUAUAAUUAUAUUAAUUUCUUUUGUACCAUGGUGGCCUUUAAAUAUUAAUUUACAGCAAAGAAAAAUUAUUAAAAAUAAUAAUUGGCUGAUAGGGCCCACCACCCCUUUCUUUCACCAAAAAAAUUUAAAUUUACUUGUCCAAAAAACAAGACCAAUAGAAUUAAACUAUUAGCUAAUUGAGAUUAAAAAAAUUAGAACUAGCACAUAAGAUAUUAAAAAAAGCAAAAAAUAAUACUAAUGCUGGUUUAUUGAACAUUAAAAAAAAAACUAGUACUUUAACAAACGAAAAUAACACUAGCUCAUACUACUUUAGAAUUUAUUGCAUGUUGCUUUUAUCAAUUAUCCCCCAUUUGCAAAGAUGAAUUUAUUUAUAUACUUUCUUAAUUUUAUAAAAAUGUGAUUGCAAAUAUAUGUUAUUAGAUUCUAUAUGUUUAUCAACACUAAUUAUUAUACAUUAUAUUUAUUUAUUCAUAAUAAUCAAAUCUUAUAUUUUAUUUAUUAAUUUAUUUACAUUAUAAAUUAUGCAAUGUAUUAUUUUUUAUUAUAGUUGUAAAUUAGAUUUUUAAAUUAUAUGAUACUAUAUGACAAAUUUCAAAUUUAUUCUUAUUUGUAUUGUAAAAUGAUGGUAAAAUAACAAAAUACAAACUAAUAAUUCUAAUUUCAAUGUAUAAUAAUGCAUUUAGUUAGGUUUUAAUAAAUGUUUGAUAAAAAUCUUAAUACAGGGAAAGAACAUCUCAAUAUUCGCAUAUUGAUGCAAAAAAAUGAAAUUUAUUAGUGGAGUACCCACAUUUCUUAUUGGAUUUCUAAAAAAAAAACAUUUAUAAUGAAUUUUAAUAAUUAUUUUGGAUUUUUUUAAUACUUAAUCCGAUCGAUUUGGCUGAUUCCCGAUCUGAAUCACCAAUUCACUGAUCCGGAUAGGUUUUUGGGGUGCCCGAUUUGGCGUACCGAUCCGUUUUUUAAAUCACUGCAUCAAACAAUCAAUAAUCAUGGCAUUAAAACAUAAUUUAUUUUUUGAGAUUAUUUACAAAAAUAAAAGGAAAAUUUAUGUAAAUAUCUGUUUUAUUUUUUGUUAUUACAAAAAUACCUAAAUCUUUCAAUUAUUACUCAUAUAUCCAUUUUUUUAUAUUCAUAAUAAUUCUUUUUUACAAAAAGUCGAAACUAUCCAUUUUUUAUUUUCAAAAAUCAAAAUUUAAGAAAUUUCGGUCUUAAAAAGCCGAAUUUCGCUGUUUGCAGAUUCGACCAAGUUAUUCAAGAACAAUUUUCAUGUUCCCUCCCCUCUAUUAAUGGCAAAAGCGAAGAAAACAAAAAAUUGAGAAAAUUGUAUAACAACUAAUAAAUGAACUUAUACACAUGGAAAAAAUACGAACUAAUAAUUCAUCCACACGAGCAAAAUGAAACCCUAAAAUUAGGUCAGCAAACAAGAAUCCUCACCCCCAAACUCACGCCUCUUAUGUCUGGAAUCCGGUGAUGUACGAGAGAGUUCUGAGCUCAGUGUGAUUGAUAGGAUGCAAUUGGAAAGCAAUUGGGAGAGGAAGAGCGAGAAACACACUCCAUUGUUGAAGAAUUAUAGUUUAAUGGCAGUUCAAAGCGCUAUUAACAAAGAAUUGCAGUUGAAAGCGCCAUUAACAAAGAAUUAGGGAUUGUAGGGGAUGAGAAAGCCUGGGAGAUUUUGAUUUCGAUUGAAUAAAACGAAGGGAUAUCUUUUAAAAUAGUAAAAUUUCUUCCCUCAAAUACAAAAAGCAGAAAGUGUGGGUAAUUUGUAGAGAACAUGCUGCGACCAAAACAUAAAAACUGAAAAACAAAUAAAUUUGGUUUUUGAAAAAUCAAAAAUUUAAAAAUUAACCGUAAAUGAGUAGUUUCAUUUUUUUAAAAAGAAUUGUUAUGAAGUUCAAAAAACGGAUAUAUGAGUAAUAGUAAAAAGUUCUAAGUAUUUUCAAAAUAACUGAAAAUAAAACGGAUAUUUCCAUAAUUUUCUCAAAACAAAAAGAGGUGUGUUUAAAUAUUCAGAUUUUAAAAAUGUCCCAGCAUUGUUUUAAAAGUAAAUUUCACUAUAUUGCUAUAAAAUCAUUGGUUGAGAUCACUCCCUUGUUGUUAGCGAUAUAGAUAAAGACAAUUGGUCAAAAACAAUAUAUGUACGUACCUAACCAAAUAGAAUAUUGUUGUUUUAGAUAUCCAUAUCCCACAUUGUUAAUCUUUUGUCCUAGACAUCCAUAUUGUUAAUCUUUUGUCUUGAAUCUCAAGUAAUUUGGGAUUAUUCCUUUUUUGAAGUGGGUUUAGGUUUCCUAAUUCAAAGGGAUAUGUUUUGUGUGCCAAUUUUGUGGGAGAUUAUUUCGUAUUUCCGGGAGAGACUCCCUAGCUUUUGAGAAUUCUAUAUGGAGCUUUUUAUGUACGGACACUUUUUUACUCCAUAUAUUAUCGUUCGAUUUACGAAGAGCGCCACUCCUAUAGUGCUUUUUUUCUUUUUGGUUUUAAGUUAAACUCCUAUUUGGUAUUAACAACACCCGAUUAAAGACAGCUUUUUGUUUUAAGACAAACAACUCAUUCACCGGACUAAAGGCAACGUUUGCCUUAAGACAAACAACUCAUUUGUCCGGUAGUUUUACGCCACGUGCGGUGUUUGGUAUUUUCAGUAUUGGAUAGUUGCUUGCAUCCCCUUAAAAAGUGAGUGCGCCCAUUGGCGAGCCUAUUUCAAUUUUGUGGGUUAACCCUCUCUCUCUUCUGGGAGCUUUCUCAUAGCCUCAAGCAGAUGUCCGAGGUCUCAGAUCUACGCGAACAUUUACUCAUCUAAUUUGCAAUCCAUCAAAUAUAUUUUCAUUUUAUUUGUCUUAGUCAUUGUAACUUUUUUUUGUUGAAAUCAUCAUUAUUUAUAGACCUUUUGAACCAAUUUGUCAAAGGCUUUGCUAGAUUGAUCAAUCUUCAAAUAUUGAAGUGUUUUGGUUGAGAUCUGGUUUUGGAGGUUUCUUGGGUCAAUGAGCGUUAUAUUGAACCUUUUAAACAAGUAAUGACAUAUUCUGGUUUCGGGGUCCAAAACUACCUAAAUUUGGAUUUUUUUUUUAUCAUUAUCAUUUUUAAUCAAUAUUUGCCAUGAAGUAAGAAACUUCUAUUAAUUAUGUACAAAAAUGAUGGUAACUUACAAAAAAAAUUAAAAAUAUUGAAUGCAAGAAGGAGAUGAAUCCUACCUGAUUAGCACUCGAUGCAUAGCAACAGUUUGCCGAUGUGAAAGCUUUAGAUAGUCGCUCAGCAGAGACCGAGAGAGAGAGAGAGAGCUCUAGGUAGAGAGAGAGAAUAGAGGGAAAAGGCCAAAUGGAGCAUUCGAGUAGAUGUCUGUUACGAACACUGGACAUAUUAGAAUAUAAGUUCGACUUCACUCGAGUAAUGUUUGGUAUGACUAAUACCGAACUGACAAAAAACAAAAGCACUAUAUAUCCGGUAUCCUGAACACCAAAUAGGACAAAGUAGCCCCUCUGGUGUUGUGAAAAAAAUAGAAAAGGAGGCCAACUUAGGAAAAAAAAAUGCUGCUAGGGGAGGGGUACUCUUUGUAAGGUUUUUGAAAAAAUAACACUAACCGAUAAUAAAGGAUACAAAAGGUUGUCAAAGGAAAGUAUAUAUUGUAUAUCUGGUUAAUAUAGAAGGUGCAUAUUAUAAUCAGUAAAUAUGAGAAAGGUAGGAUAUUGUGUCCUCCUUUGUUUUAUGGUAAGUCUGGGUAUAGUUUAGGCAUCUAUGAUUUAGUUUUUAUUUUCUCAUAUGUAAUUUGUCUAUAAAAGACAAGUCUGUAUAUGCAUAUCAAUUAAUGGACAUUGAGUCUCUUCAGAGAAAACUGCGACUCUUCACAUGGUAUCAGAGAAAGGUUAUCUUUGUUGCGUCCAUUCAUCAUCUGAACUUGCACUUUAGAUCUGAGUUCUUUGUCAAGUCGUGUUUCGACUAUUUAAUCUAUCUCUCUGUCUAGUCGUGUUUCGACUCUCUGAUCUGUCUCUCUAAGGAGUCGUGUUUCUUUGAUCUAUCUCUAUGCCGAGUCGUGUUUCGACUCUCUGAUCUGUCUCUUUAUGGAGUAGUGUUUCUCUGAUCUGUUUCUAUGUCGAGUCAUGUUUCGACUAUCUGAUCUGUUUGAUCUUUUUCAAGAGUUCCUAAAACCAUAUGUUCUAGAGGCUUGUUGAUUCUUCAUUGCUUUAUGUUCAUGUUGAUCAAGCAAUCUGAGUAUGCACAUGAAGAUCCAAUUGCUCGUUUUCUCGAUUUGGUGUUCAAACUCUAGCUGCUCUCUUUCAUAGCAUCUUGUGUUAUGAGGGAGAGUGUGAAAGGAAAGUAUAUAUUGUAUAUACGGUUAAUAUAGAAGGUGUAUAUUGUAAUUAGUAAAUAUGAGAAAGGUAGGAUAUUGUGUCCUGCAUUUUAUAGUAAGUCUGGGUAUAGUUUAGAUGUCUACGACUUAGCUUCUAUUUUCUCAUUUGUAAUUUGUCUAUAAAAGACAAAGCUGUAUAUUCAUAUCAAUUAAUAUACACUGAGUCUCUUCAGAGAAAUUUGAAACUCUUCACUAUCCACACGUAAAAAGAACUUUUCUAAAUUACCCAAGAAACUCAUUAAAGGAAAGGAGUUUAUAGGAUUAGCUUUAUCACUUUAAAAAAGAAGAAUAAACUAGGCCUCACAAGAGGGUGCUUUGGGUUUCCUCUAUGCUAUAAUUGUUUUGUAAAAAGAGAAACACACAAGACAAAUAAGUAAAAGCGAAGGAAACUUUGGGAAUGUGUAGAGAAAAUCUUUUAUGAGAGAUUUUGUAUCUGGUUCGCUCUAAGUGUCUUGUAAUUUUAUUUCUUUAAUUAGUGGAAAACUGUCGAUUGUCUUCUCCUUUGGAUGUUAUUACAUCUGUAUUGAAUUACAUAAAUUCUAGUUUACUUUCAUAUGUUAUUUUUCCAUGUUUUAUUUUUUGUGCUUGUUAUUUGAUUGUUAUUAGUUCUAUUUUUUUCGCCCUUUAUCUGCCGAAAAUCAAUCUGUCAGGUUCUAGAGCUUUCGGGCACAACACAUAUUAUGAUAAUCCACAUGAACUCUUAAGCCAAAAGAUUUCGACCUUCAGCACAACCAUACUACCCAUUUAAUUUCUCAAGUAAAACUCAAUUUAUGAGUAUUUUGAGGACUCAAAUAUUGGGGACGUAUCCUCUUCAGCCUACACAUUAACUUUAUUUAAAAAAAAAAAAAUUUUCCCAAUAACUGAUGUCCAGAGAUCAAUAGGUGAGGUUCCAAUUUUGGAUAGUGAGAUUUAGUAGUUAGAAAACUCAAAAUCCAAACCUUUUAUUUUGGAAAAUAACAAUAUGGUGGUUCUCAAAUGGUUCCCAAAAUUCCUUAUGAAAAACUCCUCCAAAGUAGUUCUUCCUCUUGAGGAAAAGUCAUACAGCCUGCUCCCUCGGGAGCAUAGUACAGGCGCUCAACUCUUGAAAUGUGCAUCGGGCUUGCCACACCGUCUAACCGACAAGGAAAACUGUGGAAGGGUGCACAUGCGUACCGGUUGAGAUUUCACGAGGCCAGCAAAAAAAUUGAUCUCAAAUUUUAUUUUUAUAAAUAUAAAUAAUGAAAAUAUUUUAGAUAAAAAAUAAUCAAAAUAAUCUUAAAUUUAUUUUGAGCAUUAUUUUUUAUUUAAAAUAUUUUUUGUUAUUUUUGUUCAAUUCUACUUAUAAAAAAGAAGCUAAAGCCCAAAUCUCAUAUUUAUAUUUUAAAAAAAAACCAUUAAACCAAAAAAAAUAUUUUGACCCUUGGAUGAGGUUGGUUCAAUCUCAACCACUAAAGGUGGUUUGUGUAAGCGUCACAGCAUGUGGACGCAGUACCACCUGGAGAAAGGUUGUACAAUCUAGUUGAAAACAAAAAAUUUGGCAACGAAAAUCUAAAUGAUAAAUGAAAAUACAUAUUGGAAAAACCUCACAAAAUAUAUUGACGCUCAAAAAGUACAUAUUAAAAAAAGUGAAAUAGAAAUAUAUAAAAUGAUAUAUUGUAUGAGAAAAGAAUAUUUAUGAUGUUGAAAAAGCAUGGUCAUAAUUAAAAAGAAAGCAAAAUGAAAUACACAAAAUUAUACAAUAAAAUUUUUAAGAAAGGAAAAUAAUUUACCCCCAAAAAAGAAAAGAAAAUAAUUUGAUUAGGCUUCAGCCCUAUCAAAAUAAGUAAAGCCUCGUCUCAUAGCUCAUCAAAAAUUGCAGUUCUAAGUAUUGAAAAACCUUGAAAUCAAGCAGCUUGAACACUAAUGUUAAAACUAAUGUAUAUUGCGACAAAACAUCUAGACCAUCCACUUUGCCUUAAAAAUAAAUGUUCAGUGCACAAGAUCUAUACCAUUUUUUGUGUUUCAAAUUUCCUUGUCGGUGUUGAAAAUUAAUUUUAGAUCUAUCAUGAAGAUUUUCAACAUCCAAAAUGCUUUCCAGAUCAGGAUUUGAAGUGAGGCUUUAUUUUGUUUCAUAACGCCCUUGGCUCUAUAGAAACUUCAUCCUUGAAGAAAAAAAAUGUAGAAAGCACCGCUAGAGCCACUAAUAAAGGGUGAAGCCUGAACCAUCGUCACAGAAAAGCCAACCUGCUUUAGGUGUUCUAGACACCGUGUUUAGGGGCUCAGUUGAGUCGACUCGGCGUCGUGACCCCGCCAAAGUGAGUGUAUUUGCCCAAUUCACCCCUCUUAAAAUCUAUUGAAAAGUCACAAAUUUUAUUUAAGAACCACUAAUAUAUAAUUCAUAAAUAUGUUUAUGUAUGAAUUUUAGGGAUUUUUAUGAUGAUUUACGAAUUUUUUUAUGUGUUUUAAUUUUUAAUUUUUCAUUUGUUGGAAUAUUUUAAGAUAUAGAUCAAUUUCUUCAAUAAAUUAUGUUUUGCAGAAUUUUCAAUAUCUUAUAUCCUUUCAUCGAUCUUUAUUACUUAUUUUAGUCUUUGUUGUUCUAUUUUUUAAUAAUUUUUGUAAAUUUGUUAGAUUUUUGGGCCGAUUUGACAUUAUGCAGCACUCAGCCAUGUUCAUUCGAACUUAGCGGAGUAACUCAACUUGAGUCGGGGUGGAGUCCGAGGCUGAAGCCAUGUUUCAUAACAAUGUUGAGAACUAUUUUACACGAUCAAAACUCUUUUAAAUGUAUAACCGCCGGUUUUUACCCCUUGUUUUUUACGGUCUCCUCUACAUUUUCCCUAAACCUGCCGUUUUUAUGACAGUCUCCUCCAUAUUUGCACAACUUUGGAGAAAAUACGGAGGAGACAAUAAUAAAAGGGGUGGAAAAUCGAUUCGUACAUAUUUUUCCCAAUUAUAAAUAAGAAUAAAGAUUCAAUGAGCUGACCAACUUUUUGGGAAAUAUAGAGUAUAUUAGAUUAGAAAAAAAGACGCUACGGCCUAUAGAGGAUGUUGGCCAAUGAGGAUAACCGAAAUAAUAUGUAUAAUACAUUUGAAAAAAAAAUAUGGAACUAAGAAAAACUGCUAAAAUAGGAAAUCACUAAACCACAUCACAAAUAACAUAGACCACACACACAAGUAAAAAUAGAUUGCACCGAAAAUGAGUUACAUCCAAAAACAAAGACAAUAAAAGGGAAAAAUUUAAAAGUUAGUGGCAUCUAUAGAAAUUAUCUACAAAUAAAACUUGAAUAGAUUUUUCUUACCUCAAUACCACCAUUAAUCGACUCUUCUUCGUCACCGUCAACCAUCAUCGUUGCCACAAAGAAAUGCCAAUGAAAUCCAGCCUAAUACAAAAGAACAAUGGUGCUAGAAUUUAUGCAAAAAAAAAAAAAGCGCCAAAUCUGUACCUCUGGCAACUUCUCUACGCUUCCUUUUUAUGUUUUCUCUCUCUAAAAUUAACUUUUAUAGGCCUCCAUAAAAAUCCAUUCUUCUAUGACAAAAACAUCUCCGAACUUUGAGUGAUUGUGCAUGACAGGAGAUCUAGUUUGCUUAUUUAUUGUCAAUUACAUCUCGUUCUNNNNNNNNNNNNNNNNNNNNNNNNNNNNNNNNNNNNNNNNNNNNNNNNNNNNNNNNNNNNNNNNNNNNNNNNNNNNNNNNNNNNNNNNNNNNNNNNNNNNNNNNNNNNNNNNNNNNNNNNNNNNNNNNNNNNNNNNNNNNNNNNNNNNNCUGCAAAUUAUGGUGAAUACAAAUGGGGUGAAUACCUUAUGUCAAGGAGGUUCAGCAAUUUCAAGAAGUUGGACAAGCCUGUGAUUGAGGUUGCAGAAUUUAAAAAGUCCAAAUAAGCCACUCUUAUAGAAGUUUGUAACGCUUUAUGUUCUUGCUUGCUUGCUCUUGGUUUCCUUUCUGUGUUUCUACUCGUAAGUUUGUUCGAAUAAGUGGCCUUUGAUCCACAAACUAUCUCUGUCCCAACUAUUAUUGAACUGUUAUGUAAAAAUAGCAAUGAAAUAUGGUAUUGGUAUCAUCCUAUUGCAUUAAGUUCGAUAAUAUGCAUUUCUCUCUCUAAUUUGUCUCAUACACAUCUCUUUCUCUCAUACACAAUAUGCAUCUCUCAUCUCUUCAUACACAACAUGCAUAUUUAUCUCACACUCUCUCUCUCUUAAGGCGCUAAUAAUUCAAGAAUCUUAAAAUACGAAAUGCUCUAUUUAGAGGUGAAAGUUAUCGGUCAACCUAUUUUUUUAAUUUGUUUUAAAAUUGCCCCUUAGGCCAAGGACAUAUCUCACGUGAAUCAUUUAGCUAGUAUUUUUAGGAUUAAACAAGAAAACAUAGUUAUAUUUCGACAAACAUCUAUUACUUGAUAUUCUGAUAGACUGUUAAUAUUUCAUUCAACAAAGCUAAAUCGUUGGAAACUUUAAAAAUAAGAGUUUAAAGAAAUUGAACAUUUUUUUUUCUGUUUUUUUAGGGCAAUUGUCAAUCCAAACCGAUUUUCCGGACAACCACUUCGCCAGGCCCAUCGAGAAUUUCAAACAUUGGUGGAUGAAUUAUUCGACUUCGAGGUCCCAACCGUAGGCAUAAGAGAGCUGUAAAUUGUUUCAUCGUACGGUAUAUGGGCUUGUUGAGCUUUAAAUGUAUUAUAUUUACAAUGCACAAUAGGCAAAGAUAAAGAAAUGACACGACACGGAAAGAUAACGUGCUGCUGCGCCAUACACAUGAUUAACUCCUCUUUCUUUUUUUGAAAUUUUUUUCAAAAUGGAAAAAGUUUAUAUAAGCUUGUAACGUUAUAAUGUAAAGCUACGGAUGCACCUCAAAAAUCCAUCGAAAAAAGUCGUUUUAAUGUUGAAAAACCCUUUGAUUGAUCAAUUCGACGUAGAGAUAAAUGUCAUGAAAAGAUAAAAAGAUUUCAAGUCUAAAAAAUAUAUGCAUUUUACAAGUCUAAAAAAAUAUGCAUUUUUCAAGUCUAAAAAAAUAUGCAUUUUCAUAUGUUUAUAGAUCUACUCGAUUUUAACCUUUUUGAAAUUUAAAAUUUUAUGAUUAGAGAUAAAAAUAGAUUUGGAGAUAAUCCUAAGAACAUUUUACAUCAAAAUUAUAUAUCAUGAUAAAAUUUGAAGGCGUACGUUACCUCUACAGCUAUGGAUGCAUCUGUAUGCCAACUGCACCCUUUCAAAAUCGUUCUCCAGUCUGAAGAUGGAAUCUUUGGUCCAAAUUUUAUUUUAUUUUUUUUAAUUUAUUUUUGUUAAAAGGGCAAUGCCCCCAAGCUUUAAGGUAGUACCCUACUUAAAACAAACUAAAAAAAAUUUAAAAUUCGGUUCUCGAAUGUCCUUGGCCUAAGGGGCAAUUUUAAAAAAAAUUUAAAAAAUAGGUUGACCGAUAACUUUCACCUCUAAAUAGAACAUUUCGUAUUUUAAGAUUCUUGAAUUAUUAGCGCCUUAAGAGAGAGAGAGUGUGAGAUAAAUAUGCAUGUUGUGUAUGAAGAGAUGAGAGAUGCAUAUUGUGUAUGAGAGAAAGAGAUGUUUAUGAGAUAAAUUAGAGAGAGAAAUGCAUAUUAUCAACCUUAAUGCAAUAGGAUGAUACCAAUACCAUAUUUCAUUGCUAUUUUACAUAACAGUUCAAUAAUAGUUGGGACAGAGAUAGUUUGUGGAUCAAAGGCCACUUAUUCGAACAAACUUACAAGUAGAAACACAGAAAGGAAACCAAGAGCAAGCAAGCAAGAACAUAAAGCGUUACAAACUUCUAUAAGAGUGGCUUAUUUGGACUUUUUAAAUUCUGCAACCUCAAUCACAGGCUUGUCCAACUUCUUGAAAUUGCUGAACCUCCUUGACAUAAGGUAUUCACCCCAUUUGUAUUCACCAUAAUUUGCAGUGUUUUUUUCAUCAACCAGCUCCUCUAAUGGCUUCACAAUGGCAUGGUAAGAAGGUACGGCCGCAAGGAUGGCUGAGAACCUCUCGACAUGGGAAUCCAAGACCACUCUGUGGGUUACGCUAUCAUAAAUGUCAUUGCUCCAUACCUGCGAAAGUUAUAAAACAUUCUCACUCCUNNNNNNNNNNNNNNNNNNNNNNNNNNNNNNNNNNNNNNNNNNNNNNNNNNNNNNNNNNNNNNNNNNNNNNNNNNNNNNNNNNNNNNNNNNNNNNNNNNNNNNNNNNNNNNNNNNNNNNNNNNNNNNNNNNNNUGUUUUUUUCAUCAACCAGCUCCUCUAAUGGCUUCACAAUGGCAUGGUAAGAAGGUACGGCCGCAAGGAUGGCUGAGAACCUCUCGACAUGGGAAUCCAAGACCACUCUGUGGGUUACGCUAUCAUAAAUGUCAUUGCUCCAUACCUGCGAAAGUUAUAAAACAUUCUCACUCCUAGAACGAGAUGUAAUUGACAAUAAAUAAGCAAACUAGAUCUCCUGUCAUGCACAAUCACUCAAAGUUCAGGAGAUGUUUUUGUCAUAGAAGAAUGGAUUUUU